rnacentral:lncRNA from 1 species
AUAGCAAUCUUUCAUGGAGAGAAACCUUAGUCUCAGUAUGAUCACUGUGUCAUUAACCCACUGCCUGCUUCUUUGCUUGGUUGUUGCAGCAGCAGCAGCAGCAAGCAGCAAUAUUACCACAGACCAACAAGCUCUUCUUGCCCUGAAAGAUCAUAUAAUUUAUGAUCCGACCAACCUUUUAGCCAAUAAUUGGACCUCGAAUAACUCUGUUUGUACCUGGAUUGGCAUCACUUGUGAUGUCAAUAGCCACAGAGUCACAGCCUUAGAUAUUUCUCAAUUCAAUCUACAAGGCACCAUCCCUCCUCAACUUGGAAACCUCUCUUCACUCACAACACUAAAUCUUAGUCAUAACAAGCUUUCUGGAAGCGUUCCCUCCCCCAUCUACACCAUGCAUACGCUAAAAUUUCUUGACUUCACCGAUAACCAGCUCUCUGGUUCAGUGUCUUCCUUCGUCUUCAACAUGUCUUCAAUAGUAGAAAUUCGUUUGACCAAUAACAGAUUUUCUGGUGUGCUUCCGAAAAAUAUUUGCAACUAUCUUCCUUAUUUGAAAGCCCUUUUCUUAAACAAAAACAUGUUUCAUGGCAAAAUUCCUUCUGCUUUAUCAAAGUGCAAAACUCUGCAAAUAUUAUUGUUACACUUCAAUAAUUUAUCCGGUGCAAUACCAAAAGAAAUCGGCAACUUGACUAUGCUCAAAGGCAUAUAUCUCGAAUACAACAAACUCCACGGUAUGUUCAUAAUACUAUGUAAAUGUUUUAAUUUCUCACUUGUUAUUUUUCUUGAAUACUUUAGAUAAGAUCUAGUAAGUGAGAUUUUUUGGAUCUGUGUUAAUUUGCCAGGUGAGAUACCCCACGAAAUCGCUAAUCUUCCAAAUCUAGAGGCUUUAGUGCUUGGAAUGAACAACCUAGUUGGUGUGUUACCAGCUCCAAUCUUCAACAUGUCAACACUGAAGGUACUUAUCCUCAUAAAUAACUCUCUCUCCGGAAGUCUCCCAUCAAGAAUAGACCUUUCACUUCCAACUAUGGAGCAUCUUAACUUGGCACUUAAUAGAUUUUCUGGAACCAUUCCUAGUUCCAUCACCAAUGCUUCUAAGCUCACCUUUAUAGAGUUGAGAGGAAACACAUUUUCGGGGUUUAUUCCAGACACAAUUGGUAAUUUAAGAAACCUUGAGUGGCUCAACUUGGCUAAUAACUCCUUGACAUCUUCAACCUCAAAAUUGAGCUUUCUUUCCUCUUUGGCAAAUUGCAAGAAAUUAAGAGUCAUAGGCUUAACAGGCAAUCCACUUGACGGCUUCCUUCCAAGUUCAAUAGGUAAUCUUUCUGUGUCUUUGGAAAUACUUUUCAUCGCCAAUUGCAGUAUUAGUGGCAACAUUCCUCAAUCAAUUAGCAAUUUAAGCAACUUGAUGAUCUUAGCAUUAGAAGGAAAUAAAUUGACUGGACCAAUUCCAAUUACAUUCGGCCGACUGCAGAAACUCCAAGGCUUACAUCUUCAAAUCAAUAAGUUGGUAGGUUCAUUCCCAGAUGAGCUUUGCCAUCUAGGUAGGCUGGCUGAAUUGGCCUUAUUGGACAAUAGGCUUUCAGGAUCUAUACCUUCUUGUGUAAGUAAUCUCACUUCUCUAAGAUCUCUCUAUUUAGGGUCCAAUAAGUUUACUUCUGUUAUUCCCUCAACCUUCUGGAGGCUAAAAGACAUCUUGUUCUUUGACUUUUCAUCAAAUUUCUUGGUUGGUCCUCUUUCUUUAGAUAUAGGAAAUUUGAAGGUGCUUCUAGGAAUAAGUUUAUCAAAAAAUAAUUUAUCCGGUGAUAUCCCAGCCACAAUUGGAGGACUGAAAGAUCUUCAAUUUAUGGACCUAGCAUAUAAUAGAUUGGAAGACCCAAUUCCCAAAUCAUUUGGUGACUUGACAAGUUUGGAGUUUUUGAAUCUGUCAAAUAAUAAAAUCUCUGGGUCUAUUCCAACAUCCAUGGAGAAACUCUUUUACCUCCGAGAGUUAAAUCUCUCUUUCAAUAAACUAGAAGGUGAGAUUCCUAGUGGAGGAAUUUUUGCCAACUUCACAGCUGAGUCAUUUAUGGGAAAUGAGUUAUUGUGUGGUUUACCAAAUCUUCAAGUCCAACCAUGCAAAAUUAGCAAGCCGAGGACAGAACAUAAAUCAAGGAAAAAGAUACUGCUCAUUGUGAUUGUUUUGCCAUUGAGUAUUGCUCUAACGAUAGCAAUCACUCUAGUUCUCAAAUAUAAGCUGAUCGAAUUUGGAAAAAGAAGCACAGUGUUAUCAAAUGAUAGUAUCUUGUCAUCACAAGCAACACUAAGAAGAUUUUCAUACUUAGAACUUUUACAAGCAACAGAUAAUUUUGCUGAAAACAACAUAAUUGGCAUAGGAGGUUUUGGUUCUGUUUAUAGAGCAAGACUUGAAGAUGGGAUGAAGAUUGCAAUAAAAGUGUUUCACCAGCAAUGUGCAAGCGCAUUGAAGAGUUUUGAGGCUGAAUGUGAAGUGUUAAAAAAUAUUCGCCAUCGAAAUCUUAUCAAAGUUAUCAGCAGUUAUUCAAACAAUGACUUCAAAGCAUUAGUCCUAGAAUACAUGUCCAACGGGAGCUUGGGGGAUUGGUUGCAUUCCAGCAAUUAUAUGCUUAAUAUAUUUCAAAGGUUGAACAUAAUGAUUGACGUUGCAUCAGCUUUAGAAUAUCUCCACUUCGAUCAUUUACCUCCUAUUAUUCAUUGUGACUUAAAGCCUAGUAAUGUAUUGUUGGACGAAAAUAUGGUUGCUCAUUUGAGUGAUUUUGGCAUUGCAAAGCUUUUAAGUGGAGAGGAUGAGUAUGUGAUGCGAACAAAAACCCUUGCCACUAUAGGUUAUAUGGCACCAGGUUUGCUUCAAACAACUUUUUUUUAGUUCAUUUUAAAUUUUCCAACUUAUUGAUUUUUACAAUCCUCACAUCAAAAUGUUAUUGAUUAUUUAUCUAAUUGUGAAAUUAAUUUGAUUCAUAGAGUAUGGCAUAGAAGGAGAAGUAUCUACAAAAAGUGAUGUGUACAGCUAUGGGAUUAUGUUAAUGGAAACUUUUACCAAGAAAAAACCCACAGAUGAAAUUUUUGUUGGAGAAUUGAGCUUAAAGCGUUGGGUUAAUGACUUGCUUCCUACUUCAUUAGUGGAAGUUGUGGACAAAACUCUGCUAAGUGGAGAGGAAAAACUUUCUGCAGCAAAGGAGCAAUGUCUGUUGUCUAUCUUUAGCUUGGCUCUGGAGUGUACAAUGGAAUCACCGGGAAAGAGGAUUAAUGCAAAAGAUAUUGUUACAGGAUUACUCAAGAUAAGAGACACAUUGAGUAAAAGGAUAGGAAACUUAAGUUAAUUUCGUUUGCUUUCAUUGAUAGUUAAUUCAAAUUCAUGUAAUAAGUGUAAGAAUCUUAUAUGCUUUCCUUAGAUUUUUUUUUGUUUGAGAAAACUGUUGUAUUCAUCUUGUUUCCAUGGGCAGAGUUGAUUUAGUUCUUCCAAGAAAUGCUACUGAUGACCUUUGUUUUAUACUUUCGCUUUUUUUUGCAUGUGUUUCGGUAGAAUAGUGGUUUGGCUCACUCAAAGAAGUCAAACUGCACUAAAAGAAUAUGAUUUAAUUUAUUAAACAAAACUUCAAGUUCAAGAAAAGUAUCUCACUGCCCCCAAUGCUUUGGACACCUAUUGGUAGGUUUGUACGUGUCCUCAACUUUUUUUUAGAGCACAAAAUUCGAGUCCCAUGGAGACUCAAACAUUCCUUUUCCGCAUCCCGAGCGUGCUAAAUUCAUCAGACUGACAAUUGGGACAUAUAGAAGAGUGAAAUGUUUGGAGCACGCUAAGUUCGAGCGAAAGAGAUUAAUUUACAGAAACUAAAGCCAAGAGAAUAAAGGACAACACUUAUGUGAAGCGACAUAAUUGUAUUGAUAGCACAAUGUCAAAUUCAUACAGAGAUCUAGUAUACUAUUUACAGCCGGUAAGGGCUAAGAAUUGAUGUAGCUAGAAUACAAAGACGAUAAGGUAUGUUGUGCACUAUUGUUUUAUUCUACGAUCAAUCUUGACCCUUGAUGCUUGGCUCUCAAUCUUGUCCAUUGAUCUUCUUUGAUUUUGUACACUUCAAGACCUUUCAGUAUCAUUCCUUGUUGUUGGUGUCUUCCGUGCUGUAGAAUUCAUAUACAAGCCUUCCCGCCGACUUGCGAAGUAUUCGUUCAUUGAUGCAUUUUAUCAAACAGCUGGGCUACUUAUACCAAACACCGCGUGGUUUAACUCCCCCUCUCUAGCUUAACUAUCUGGGAAGGCAAUUAAUUGAGAUAUGAAUUAGAAAAUUAAAUUUUAAAAAUUAUAUUCGGACUCUACAUUUUGUAAUGAACAUUGGUUUGACUUGUUAUACAUUUACGCGUACAUAAUUAAUAACCGAUUCUCAAGUGCGGACAUUCAAGAGCACUGCUUAAAGACCAAAUAUUUUGAUUUACUAUUUUUUGUCUUUCAAUUUUCUUUUACGUUCUGAUGACGUCCGCAUUUUAAAAUCCUGUGGAACAAAGGUCGAAUUGUAGAGGGUAAGCAAACAUUUAUCCGAAUUAUAUUAUGAUAAAUCCUUUUCCAAUUAGAAUUAGGAAACCAUAGAUAUACUGAUUUUUUUUGUUUAAAUGAUUUUGUGAUUUACUUGAUUGAUUGAGUGAUUGAAUAUUGUUUGAUUGCUUCAUAUCAAUUCUAGAAAGUUUAUUUCUUUGUGAAAUUUCAACGAAAUAUGUUUUUUAAAAUAAUAAAGGUGUUUUAAGUAAUUUUAAAAAAUAAAUGGACUAAUUAGAAUUAAUUAUUAAGUAAUUAACUCGAACUGUAGAGGAUAAGCAAACAUUUAUCCUAAUUAUAUUACGAUAAAUCAUUUUCCAACUAGAAUUAGGAAACCAUAGAUAUGCUGAUUUUGUUUUUUUAAUUUCUCUUUGCGAAAACGGAUUAGAGAACUAGAAAACAAUCCUAGUGAGACUAUUGUUAGGUUUAAAACACUGCAUAGAUGGUAAAAACAUGCGUGGUGAAUAUUUUGUCGCAUGCAAACUUUUUGUUUUAUGCAAAUCGUGCUGAACAUUGGGACUGAUGUUUAAGAAAAAAAUUCUGUAGUUAAAGAAAAACAAAAAAAUUCUGAUGUUUAUGCAAAAAUAGAUUACGAUAGUUUAUUCAAUUGGGAGUUUUUUUUUCUUUAAUUUUUGUUGUACUUGAUUGAGAUUUCUCCUUAGUCCUUACCGUCUUAAGUUUGGAUACCGUAGGAUUAGUAAUUUCGUACUUCCUUUGCAAGCUGAAUAUAAGGAUGAAAUUUUUUUAAGAAAUUAAAAAAAAAAGAUUAAAAAAAGGGCAUACCAGUAGGCAAUUAUAAAUUAACCACAAAUAAAUAUAAACAAAAUGUUUAUGAAGUAAAUUAAACAUGCACAUAUUAUUUUCUUUUAUUUUCUGCUUGGAAACCCAUAAAUACACUAAUCCAGUACUACUAAUUUCAGACCGAAAAAUUUGAACUCUAGGCUGCAGUUUGACUCAAAAUGAUGAUCACUGGCUUCGCACCAUUUAACCGGUAUACAUUUCUACAAACUGAACAAGGCUAUUGAUUAUUAUUAUUAUUAUUAUUUUAAUUUGUUUAUAAAUUACUAUUUUAAUUUUCACUUUUUAUUGGGUUGUUUAACGGAUUAGUGAAGUUGGUGGUCGUUGAUGCACUCACAAGGUACAAUUUUAUUUUAUAAUUUCAAAUUCGUAUUUUAAAAUGCAGGCACAUUAUGUAUACAUAAUUAUUGAUUUUCAUAUGUGGGUGUUUUGAAAUAUUGCCAAAAGACCAAACUUUAAUAAACUAUUUUUGAUCUUUUUUUUCCUUUUUAGCUAAAGUUUGAGUGAUAUCCGCAUUUUAAAUUCAUGUGGAACAAAAGCUAAUGUAUGCACAAAAUUCUUUUAUUUUUUCCGAGAAAAAUGGGUAAGAGAAGAAGAUUUUUCUCUUGAAAAAAGAAAAACCAAUACGAUGCAAGCAUAGGAAAGAGUUCAGUGUUUUGGAUUUGAAUUUAGUAUUGAGCUGAAUUUUAUGCUAAGCUCUUUUAUAGUACUGCUAAUAAUAAGCUCAGGAUUUGCUUUUGCUUUUACGUCAAGUAAAAGAAAGAGGAAACCUUUUGUUUUCUGUUUGAUUUUUGACUAUAUAUGUUACCUAUAUAGAGAGUUGAGGUAGCUGCCUUAAGUGAUGGUGAUAAAAAGAUUAAGCAACGCACACAAUCUUACUGUUGUCCAGACCAUCCAGUGAUGCUCUAGUUUUUUGGUUACAUUAGCUUUAGUGGAAAGAAGGGUCAAUUUAACAAAGACUAGAUUUGGUGGCUUACUAUAAUGCUUAUUCUCAGGGAAUCUAAUGUUAUAAGAUGAUUGAAUGAUCUUCUAUGAUUGUGUGUAGUACAAUAUAAUUGAAAGGAACCUGGGCUCCUAUGAUGAAUAACAGCAACACAUUACUAUGAUUGAGAAAACUCAGUUACAAUAAACUCUUCAUUUAUUCAUUGCUGAGAUUGAAUGGCAAACAGAGAAUAGAAUGAAGCAGAGGAAUCUCAUUGCCGGUAAAAUUGACCAUAUUUAAUGUUACUUGCAGUUUUUAUUGUAAAAUAUAUAGGUAUUGUCAAAGCCGGUGGUGGCCUAGCCAAAAUCAAAUUGGCUUUGGCAGCCGCCCAAAGAAAUAAACAAAAGAGAAAUAGAAGAAAAAGAGAUGAGGGAGAUGCCGCCUAAAGAAAUGAAGCACACGGCUUUGACUUGUUCUAAAAAAAAAAAAAGAGCCAAAAUUUUUUGCUAUAUAAAGUGGGCUUCCCACCCUCAUUUUUGCAUUCCAUUUAAGAGAGAGCAAUCUAGUAUUUUUUGAGAGAGAGUUUUGAGAGCUUGAAAUUAUAAGCUUUUGUUAUAGAAAUUUGAGAGUUUGGGUGUAUUGGGGUUUUGGGAAGUGGGCUAAAAUACUACAAUACUUGUAAUUUCUUUUUACUAAUAAAAUAUUUCCUUCUGUCUUCGCCCGUGGACGUAGGCUAAAAGCCGAACCACGUAAUUUCUAAUAUUCUCUUUUGUGAUUGUUUUUUAUUCUUCUUCCAAUUUUAUUUUAGCUGCAGUCCUGCUUCACCCACCAAUUUCCUAAUAGUGGUAUCAGAGCUAUUGGUUGUAUUUUUUGGAGUCGGGUACUAUUCACGUAAGGGUACUAUUCACAUAUAUGGUAUUGUUCACGUAUACGAUACUAUUCACGUGAAAUGGUGAGAGCGAUCCAAGAAUUUGGCGGUGCAAAAGUAGGGAAUAGUGGUGUGAGUAAAACAACUGUGUGGUUUUGUACAUGUCUAGGAAAGUUCUGUCAUAAAGACGAUAAGAGCUUAAGGAGUCUGGGUUUUAAGUGGGACCAUUGUGACCCCUCCAGUCUUUCUUGGAAACUUUCCUGGUGUGCAUAUUCACACAUACUCACAACUAUUUAAGGUGAUACACUAGUUUGUGUACAAUAUUUAUUAACAAAAUGGCGGCAAAGUAUGAAAUUAAGAAAUUUAACGGAAAUAAUUUUUCGUUGUGGAAAAUAAAGAUGAAAGCUGUAUUGAGGAAAAAUAAUUGCUUGGCAGCAAUUAGAGAAAGGCCUAUGGAGAUAACUGAUGACAAGUGGAACGAGAUAGAUGGCAACGCCAUUUCUGAUUUACACUUGGCGCAUGCAGACAGAGUAUUAUCCAGUCUGGCAGAGAAAAAUACAGCAAAGGAAAUAUGAGAUACACUCACAAAAUUGUACGAGGCCAAGUCACUACACAACAAAAUCUUCUUGAAGAGGAAACUCUAUACUCUUCGAAUGACGGAAUCUACAAUGGUGACUGACUACAUCAACAUCUUGAAAACUCUAUUUUCACAACUCACAGUGUUGGGUUAUAAUAUAGAGGAGAAUGAACGUGCAGAGCUUCUACUUCAAAGUCUACCAGAUUCGUAUGAUCAACUCAUCAUCAACCUGACAAACAACAAUCCAGCGGACAGUCUAGUUUUCGAUUAUGUUGCAGCCUCCGUAUUAAAUGAGGAGAGCAGGCGGAAAAAUAAGGAAAACAGCAAGCAAGUUCGCAUCAAGCGGAGACGCUAUUGGUGACGAGAGGGAGAUCAACGGAACGUGGCCCCAGUGAGAGUCAAAAUCAUGGUAGAUCAAAAUCUAGAAGUAAGAAGAAUGUUAAAUGCUACAAUUGUAGCAAGAAAGGGCACGUCAAGAAAGAAUGUUGGAGUAAUUAGAAGAGAAAAGAGGGCAAAGAACCUGAGUCAUCAAAUGCUCAGGGUUGUGUAGCAAGUACCUCGGAUGAUGGCGAAAUUCUCUACAGCGAGGCAACAACUGUUUCAGAAGGCAGAAAACGACUAUAUGAUGUUUGACUUAUAGACUCAGGAGCUACCUGGCACAUGACCUCUCGGAGAGAAUGGUUCCACACAUAUGAACCUAUCUUAGGAAGAUCUGUAUAUAUGGGUAAUGAUCAGGCCUUGGAGAUCACUAGUAUUGGUACUAUCAAAAUAAAAAUGUUUAAUGGUAUAAUUCGCACAAUUGGGGAGGUACGACAUGUCAACGGCUCUAAGAAAAAUCUUUUGUCUUUGGGACAAAUGGAUAGUCAUGGGUACAAAACUCAUGUGGAGAAUGGAAUUAUGAAGAUCGUUAAAGGCGCGCUUGUAUUGAUGAAGGCAGAAAAGAUCAAUGCUAAUCUAUUCAUGCUUAAAGGAGAAACACUACAGGAGGCUGAUGCGUGUGUUGCAUCAAAUGAAGAAGAGUCAACGAUGAUGUGGCAUCUCAAACUUGGCAACAUGUCGGAACAAGGUUUGAAGAUUCUCUCUAAGCAAAAAUUGCUUCCGGGGCUCAAAUCGGUAAAUUUACCAUUUUGCGAGCAUUGUGUUACAAGUAAGCAGCAUAGAUUAAAAUUCAAUAGAUCUAUUGCUAGAAGUAAAUGCAUUCUAGACUUGAUUCAUUCUAAUAUUUGAGAAUCACCGAAUAUAUCCAUAGGAGGUGCAAAAUACAUGGUGACUUUCAUUGAUGAUUAAUCCAGAAGAUGUUGGGUGUAUCCAAUUAAGAAAAAGUCAGAUGUAUUUUCAGUGUUUAAAGAAUACAAAGCGUGGGUGGAACUUGAAUCUGGUAAAAGGAUAAAGUGCUUGAGGAUAGAUAAUGGUGGAGAGUAUACAAAUGGCGAGUUUCUUGCUUUCUGUAAACAAGAAGGUAUCCAAAGGCAUUUCACGGUGGCAUACACUCCUCAAUAAAAUGGAGUGGCGGAGCGGAUAAACAGAACUCUUACAGAAAGAAUAAGAGCUAUGUUGAGGACUGCUAGUCUACCCAAUUUAUUCUGGGCAGAAGUAGCCAAAACUGCUUGUUAUAUAGUAAAUAGGUCGCCAUCUACAGCCAUUGGGCUGAAGACCGCGAUGGAGAUGUGGACUGGAAAGCCAGCUGAUUAUUCCUACCUACAUGCAUUUGGAUGUUCUAUGUACGUGAUGUACAAUGCCAAAAAAAAAACAAAGCUGAGUCCAAAAUCUAGAAAAUGUAUCUUCUUGGGGUAUGCUGAUGGAGUAAAGAGGUAUCGUCUAUGGGACCCCACUGCCCACAAGAUUGUCAUCAGCAGAGAUGUUAUGUUUAUAGAAGAUCAACUGCAAAGGAAAGAUAAGGAUUAUAGCAGUGUAAAAGAAAAGUCAAAGACUAUACUGGUAUAUGUGGAAAAUAAUCCAGAAGAUUCAGAUUCUUCUGAAGCAGCACCAGAGCACGAGGAAUGAGAACCAGUCGAGUCUGGGGCUCCAGAAGUUCGUCGGUCAACUCGUGAGAGAUGAUCGCCAACGUGGCACUCGGAGUAUGUCAUAGAGAUCAAUGUUGCAUACUAUCUUCUAAUAGAAGAUGGAGAGCCUUCAACUUUCUAUGAAGCUUUAAACAGCUCAGAUGUUGCUUUGUGGAUGACAGCAAUGCAGGAAGAAAUUGAAGCUCUACAUAAGAACAAGACAUGGGAACUUGUACCACUACUACACGGAAGAAAAGCCAUUGGAAACAAAUAGGUCUACAAGAUCAAGCGUAAUGGCAAUGACCAAGUGGAGCGGUUUCGUGCAAGAUUGGUAGUGAAAUGAUAUGCUCAAAAAGAAGGUAUUGACUUCAAUAAGAUAUUUUCGCCGAUAGUUCGACUCACAACAGUCAGAAUAAUCUUGGCAAUGUGUGCUACAUUUGACCUACAUCUAGAGCAGUUAGAUGUGAAAACUGCAUUUCUUCAUGAAGAACUUGAAGAAGAAAUAUAUGUGCUCCAACCAGAAGGUUUUAUAGAAACAGGAAAGGAAAACUUGGUUUGCAGGUUGAACAAAUCUCUAUAUGGUCUCAAACAGGCGUCGAGGUGUUGGUAUAAGAGAUUCGAUUCCUUCAUCAUGAGCCUUGGAUACAACAGAGUAAGUUCAGACCAUUGUACAUAUUAAAAAAGGUUUGAAGAUAAUGAUUUUAUUAUUUUAUUGUUGUACGUGGAUGACAUGUUGGUAGCAGGCCCCAACAAAGAUCGAGUCCAAGCAUUGAAGGCACAGUUGGCUAGGGAGUUUGAAAUGAAGGAUUUGGGACCAGCAAACAAGAUUCUAGGGAUGCAAAUUCACCGAGACAGAAAUAGCAGGAAGAUUUGGCUUUCGCAGAAGAAUUACUUGAAGAAAAUCUUGCAGCGCUUCAACAUGCAAGAUUGUAAGUCAAUUUCUACCCCACUUCCUGUUAAUUUCAAAUUAUCCUCAAGUAUGUGUCCUAGCAAUGAAGGAGAGAGGAAGGAGAUAUCUCGAGUACCGUAUGCAUCAGCAGUUGGAAGUUUGAUGUUUGCUAUGAUAUGUACAAGACCAGACAUUGCACAAGCAGUGGGAGCAGUCAGUCGAUACAUGGCCAAUCCCGGUGGAGAGCAUUGGAUAGCUGUGAAGAAGAUUCUGAGAUACAUCAGACGAACCUCAGAUGUUGCAUUAUGUUAUGGAGGAUCAGAGUUUACUGUCAGGGGCUAUGUGGAUUCAGAUUUUGUAGGAGACCUUGAGAAAAGAAAAUCUACUACUAGUUAUGUGUUCACACUUGCGGUAGCAGCUGUAAGCUAGGUUUCGAAACUGCAGACCGUUGUGGCUUUAUCUACAACAGAAGCAGAAUACAUGGCAGCUACACAAGCUUGCAAGGAAGCUAUUUGGACACAAAGAUUAUUGGAGGAGCAUGGGCACAAACAACAGAAAAUUCAUGUGUUUUGUGACAGUCAGAGUGCCUUGCACAUUGCAAGGAAUCCAGUCCUUCAUUCCAGGACAAAGCACAUAGGAGUUCAGUAUAACGCCGUUCGAGAAAUAGUGGAAGACGGAAAUGUGGAUUUACAGAAAAUCCAUACGAAGGAGAACCGAGCAGAUGUUUUGACCAAGCCGAUAAAUACUGAUAAGUUUGUUUGGAGUAGAUCCUCUUGUGGCCUAGCAGAAACGUAGGCAAUAUGAUUAUGGCGAAGCAGAAAAGAUGGUGUGGAGAUUGAUUGAUUUUCAGUCAAAUCUCCAAGUGGGAGAAAUAUCAAAGCCGGUGGUAGCCUAGCCAAAAUCAAAUUGGCUUUGGCAACCACCCAAAGAAAUAAACAUGGCUUUGGCAGCCACCUAAAGAAAUAAACAAAAGAGAAACAGAAGAAAAAGAGAUGAGGGAGGUGCCGCCCAAAGAAAUGAAGCACACGGCUUUGACUUGUUCUAAAAAAAAAAAAAAGAGCCAAAAUUUUUUUCUAUAUAAAGAGGGCUUCCCACCCUCAUUUUUGCAUUCUAUUUAAGAGAGAACAAUCUAGUAUUUUUUGAGAGAAAGAGUUUAGAGAGCUUGAAAUUAUAAGCUCUUGUUAUAGAAAUUUGAUAGUUUGGGUGUAUUGGGGUUUUGGGAAGUGGGCUAAAAUAUUACAAUACUUGUAACUCCUUUUACUAGUAAAAUAUUUCCUUCUGUCUUCGCCCGUGGAUGUAGGCUAAAAGCCGAACCACGUAAUUUCUGAUAUUCUCUUUUGUGCUUGUUCUUUAUUUUUUUUCCAAUUUUAUUUUAGCUGCAGUCCUGCUUCACCUACCAAUUUUCAAAAAGGUAUGACCAUGGUCAUUGCAGUUAGGUUUUGAUGAUUUCAGAUGCUUUUUUAAAAAAAAAUUGUGACUGACGAUUACAAUCAUUACAGCAAUGCUGAUGAGUGAUACAUCACUUGAAAUUUACUUGUCAGUUGCUGAAAUGAUGAAAAAAGACCAUAAACAAUAAGAUUAAUAAUGUUCUCUUGCUGAAUUCUAAUUUUGACUUUCAACUCUUGGUUUUUAUGGAAAGUAAAAUGACUUGUAUAUUGUUUAGAAACUCGAAUCUAACCAGUAACAAACUCGAAUCUAUCAUUAUCUAAACAAAAAACCAAGAGUUUCUAACCAGUAACAAACAAAGCAAUCUUAGUCUUUCAUGGAGCGGAACCUUAGUCUCAGUAUGAUCACUGUCUCAUUAACCCACUGCCUGCUUCUUUGCUUGGUUGUUGCAGCAACAGCAGCAGCAAGCAACAAUAUUAUCACAUACCAACAAGCUCUUCUUGCCCUGAAAGAUCAUAUCACUUAUGAUCCAACCAACCUUUUUGCCCAUAAUUGAACCUCGAAUACCUCUGUUUGUACCUGGAUUGGCAUCACUUGUGAUGUCAAUAGCCAUAGAGUCACAACCUUAGAUAUUUCUCAAUUCAAUCUACAAGGCACCAUCCCUCAACUUGGAAACCUCUCUUCACUCACAACACUUAAUUUUAGUCAUAAUAAGCUUUCUGGAAACGUUCCCUCCUCCAUCUACACCAUGCAUACGCUAAAAUUAUUAUAAGUGAAUAUGAAAUAGUUCACUCAAAGCAAGGAUAAAUGGAUGAAAGUACUACUCAUUUUAUUCACAAUGAGGUUGCCUUUUAUAGGCGUUACAUGAACAAACUUAAUGAAAUAAUAGCAGCUAUUAUUCAGCAAAUACUGCAGCCACUUUCCAGUAACUAUAGCCUAAAGACUAGGUAAACACAAUCUUGCAAAUAACAUUACCAACAAACUUCCUAAAGACUAGGACCAUAAAAGCAACUUAUUGACAUAAGGAAAUUCCAACAAUCCCUCCCUUAAACUAAAUGUUAUUAACAUUCAGUUUAAACAUUCUGCAGAAUCUUCCUCAAAUUGCAAUUUGCAAACUCCAAGUGACUUUCUCAACUUAAAAAAACUAGCCAAUUUGAGGGGUUUAGUAAAGAUGUCAGCAACUUGGUCUUCACUCUUGCAAUAAACAAGAUCAAUGACUUCAUUUUUUGUCAAGUCUCACAAGAAAUGAUAUCUCACAUCUAUGUGCUUGCAUCUUCCAUGUAGAACCGGAUUCUUUGAAAGUUUAAUUGUUGAACUAUUAUCACAGAAGAUUUGUGUUGACUUUGGUUGCUUAAACUGAAGUUCAUGAAGAAUAUUUCUUAGCCAAAGUGCUUGACAUGCACAAGAAGCUGCUGCAACAAACUCAGCUUCAGUUGUUGACAAAGUAACUAUCGGUUGCUUCUUAGAUGACCAUGAAAUAGCUGCUGAACCAAACAUAAAUACAUAUCCAGAUGUGCUUCUUCUGUCAUCCAAAUCUCCAGCAUAAUCAGUGUCUAUAAAGCCAUACAAAUUUGAUUUUUUACCCUUUUUAUAGAACAACCCAAAUUCAGCUGUACCACGCAAGUAUCGAAGAAUUCUUUUUGCAGCUAAAAGAUGAUCCUCUCUUGGACGCUCCAUAUAUCUGCUGAUGGAACUAACUGCAUGCAUUAUAUCAGGUCGAGUUGCCGUUAAGUACAUCAAGCUUCCAACAAUCUGUUUGUAAAGGGUACUAUCAAGCAGGAUCCUUAACAAACUUCAAUCCUUUUUCAAUUGGAGUAGUGACAGAGUUGCAGUUCUUCAUUUGAAAUCUUUCUAAGAUCUCUUUCACAUAUUUCUUUUGACAAAUAAAAUUUCCAGCAUCAGAUUGUAUGACUUCUAAGCCAAGAAAAUAAUGCAGCAAACCAACAUCAGUCAUAUCAAAUUCAAGCAUCAUGGAUUCCUUGAAUUUCUCAAACAUUACUCUGUCAUUUCCCGUGUAAAUCAAAUCAUCUACAUAUAAACAUACCAUAAGCAUUUUCCCAUCAUCUCCAAUUUUUAUGUACAGAGUAUGCUCAUAUGGGCAUUUUCGAAAACCUUCCUCCAAGAAAUAAGCAUCUAUAUGACUAUACCAAGCUCGGGGUGCUUGUUUUAGUCCAUAUAGAGCUUUUUUCAAUUUAUAGACUUUAUGCUCACUGCCUAAUUUCACAUAUCUAGGAGGUUGUUCGAUAAAUACCUCUUCUUGUAGCUCCCUAUGCAAGAAUGCUGAUUUCACGUCCAGUUGAAAAACAGGCCAUGAAUUUUGUGCUGCAAGAGCAAUAAUCAAUCUGAUCGUUUCAAGUCUUGCAACGAGAGAAAAUACUUCUUUAUAAUCCGCGCCGAACUCUUGCUUGUAGCCUUUGGCGACUAGGAGUGCCUUGUAUUUAUCAAUUUCACCAUUUUCCUUCAAUUUUGUCUUGUAAACCCACUUGACUCCUAUUGUCCUCUGCCCCAUUGGAAGUUCAGUCAACUCCCAAGUAUUAUUUUUUUCAAUGGAUGCAAUUUCUUCGUCCAUGGAUUUUAGCCAUUUUUGUUCUUUGACAGCUUCUUUAAAAGUUGUAGGAUCACAUUCUGAAAACAAGGCAAAGUGUAUGAGUGGAUUCUCAAGAGUGUUAAAUCUUGUUACCUCAUAAUCUGACAUCCAUGCAGGCCUUCUUCUAUCACGUUGAGAACGUGAAUCUGUAGCUUCAACUUGUUCAUUAAGUUCAUUUGUUGCUGGUGGAGUUUCUACUGAGACUCUAUUUUGCGGCAGGUCAGGAGCAGAGACUGUUGAAGGCUGAAGUUGCUGUGAAUUUUCUUCAAUUUCACCAUCGAAAUCUGCUGGAAUUUGCUGCCCAAUAGAACUGCAUCUCCACAUCCAUGUCUUCUCUUCAUAAAAAAUGACAUCACGACUAAUGACAAUUUUCUUGAUGAUGGGAUCAUAUAAUUUGUAGGCCUUUGAAUGAUCACUAACACUAAGAAAACUGCACUUUACACCUUUGUCAUCUAAUUUUCUUCUUUUCUCAUCUGGUAUGUGGACAUAUGCUAUACAUCCAAAUACCCGAAAGUGAUCUACUGCCGGCUUACAUCCACUCCAUGCUUCUUCAGGAGUUAUAUUUUGAACAGCUAUUGUGGGGCUUCUGUUCAAAAUAUAAACACUCCAAACAACUGCUUCAGGCCAAAAACUUUUGGGAAGACCACUCCUCCGCAGAAGGCUUCGUACCAUAUUAAGAAUUGUACGAUUUUUCCUCUCGCAUACACCAUUUUGCUGAGGUGUGUAGGCUGUUGUCAAUUGUCUUCUAAUUCCAUGAUUUUUGCAAAAGCUUCCAAAUUCUUGAGAGUUGAACUCUCCACCACGAUCAGUACGCAAUAUUUUAAUUUGGCUGUCAGCUUCUCUUUCAACUAAUGCUUUAAACAUUUAAAAGGCUGUGAAAACUUCCGAUUUUUCUUGCAAGAAAUAAACCCAGGUUUUUCAACUAAAAUCAUCAAUAAUUGAGAUAAAAUAUCGUUUACCUCCAUUUGAUGUUGGCUUGAUUGGCCCACAUAAGUCUGAAUGCACUAGCUCCAGCACUUUCUUUGCCCUCCGGGAUUUUCCUUUUGGAAAAUUAUCUCGAUGUUGCUUACUGACAAUACACUCUUCGCAAAGCUGUGAAGGUUGCUCAAAUUUCUAGACUUCACGGAUAACCAGCUCUCUGGUUCAGUGUCUUCCUUCGUCUUCAACAUGUCUUCAAUAUUAGACAUUCGUUUGACUAAUAACAGACUCUGGUGAGCUUCCGAAAAAUAUUUGCAACUAUAUUCCUUAUUUGAAAGCCCUUUCUUUAGACAAAAACAUGUUUCAUGGCAAAAUUCCUUAUGCUUUAUCAAAGUGCAAACAACUGCAACAAUUAAAUUUGCAGUUCAAUAAUUUAUCCGGUGCAAUACCGAAAGAAAUCGGCAACUUGACUAUGCUCAAAGGGAUAUAUCUCGGCUACAACAAACUCCACGGUAUGCUCAUAAUACUAUACAAAUAUUAUCUUUCUUGAAUACUUUAGAUAAGAUCUUGUAUGUGAGAUUUUUUUGCAUCUAUAUUAAUUUUCCAGGUGAGAUACCGCACGAAAUCGCUAAUCUUCGAAAUCUAGAGGCUUUAGCGCUUGGAAUGAACAACCUAGUUGGUGUGGUAUCAGCUCCAAUAUUCAACAUGUCAACAUUGAAGAUAAUUAUCCUCAUAAAUAACUCCCUCUUCGGAAGUCUUCCAUCAAGAAUAGGCCUUUCACUUCCAACUGUUGAGCAUCUUAACUUGGAACUUAAUAGAUUUUCUGGAACCAUUCCUAGUUCCAUCACCAAUGCUUCUAAGCUCACCCUUCUAAAGUUGGGAGGAAACACAUUUUCGGGCCUUAUUCCGGACACAAUUGGUAAUUUAAGAAACCUUGAGUGGCUCGGCUUGGCUUAUAACAACUUGACAUCUUCAACCUCAAAAUUGAGCUUUCUUUCCUCUUUGGCAAAUUGCAUGAAAUUAAGAUCCUUAAACUUAAUAGGCAAUCCACUUGACGGCUUCCUUCCAAGUUCAAUAGGUAAUCUUUCUAUGUCCUUGGAAACACUUCUCAUCACCAAUUGCAGUAUUAGUGGCAACAUUCCUCAAGCAAUUUCAACCAAAUAUCUUUUUCAAAAUAAUUAGGGUGUUUUAAGCAAUUUGAAAAAUAAAUGGAGUAAUUAAAAUUAUUUAGUAGGUAAUUAACUUGAACGGUAGAGGGUAAGCGAACAUUUAUCCCAAUUAUAUUAUGAGAAAUCCUUUUCCGAUUAGAAUUAGGAAACCGAGGUAUACUGAUUUUUUUGUUUUUUUAAUUUCCCUAUGCGAAAACGGAUUAGAGAAUAAGAAAACAAUCCUAGUGAUAUUAUUGUUAGGUUUAAAACACUGCAUAGAUAGUAAAAAGCGAACUAGUCUGUAGAGUAAUUUGUUAAUUGCUAUCGCCUCUCCAUGCAUGGUGAAUAAUUUGUUGCAUGCAAACUUUUUAUGUAUAAGAAAAAAAUUCUGUAGUUUAAGAAAAACAAAAAGGCAUGUUGAAUAGAUUACAAUAGUUUAAGGAAAAAAAUUAUUCAAUUGGGAAUUUUUUUUUCUUUAAUUUUUGUUGUACUUGAUUGAGAUUUCUCCUUAUUCCUUACAGUUUUAAGUUUGGAUACCGUAGGAUUAGUAAUUUCGUACUUCCUUUGCAAGCUGAGUAUAAGGAAGAAAUUCUUUUAAGAAAUUAAAAAAGAUAAAAAAAAGGCAUACCAGUAGGCAAUUAUAAAUAACCACAAAUAAAUAUAAACAAAAUGUUUAUGAAGUAAAUUAAACAUGCACAUAUUAUUUUCUUUUAUUUUCUGCUUGGAAACCCAUAAAUACACUAAUCCAGUACUACUAAUUUCAAACAGAAAAAUUUGAACUCUGGGCUGCAGUUUGACUCAAAAUGAUGAUCACUGGCUUCGCACCAUUUAACCGGUAUACAUUUCUACAAACUGAACAAGGCUAUUGAUUAUUAUUAUUAUUUUAAUUUGUUUAUAAAUUACUACUUUAAUUUUCACUUUUUAUUGGGUUGUUUAACGGAUUGGUGAAGUUGGUGGUCGUUGAUGCACUCACAAUGUACAAUUUUAUUUUAUAAUUUCAAAUUGGUAUUUUAAAAUGCAGGUACAUUGUGUAUACAUAAUUAUUGAUUUUCGAAUGAGGGUGUUUUGAAAUAUUGCUAAAAGACCAAACUUUAAUAAACUAUUUUUGAUCUUUUUUUUCUUCCUAAAGUUUGGGUGAUAUGCGCAUUUUAAAUUCAUGUGUAACAAAAGUUAAUGUAUGUAUAAAAAUUCUUUUAUUUUACUGAGCAAAAUAGGCAAGCGAAAAAGUUUUGGCAAAUGAGUUGCAACUGAAUUCAAAACCAAUACAAUGCGAGCAUAGGAAAGAGGUCAGUGUUCAGGAUUUGAAUUUAGUAUUAAGCUGAAUUUUAUGGUAAGCUCUUUUAUAGUACUGUAAUUAGUAAGCUAAGCCCCGGAUUUGCUUUUGCUUUUGCUUUUACUUCAAGUGAAAGAAAGAGGAAACCUUUUGUUUUUUCUUUGGUUUUCAACUAUGUUACCUAUACAGAGAGUCAAGAUACCUGCCAUAAGUGAUGGUGUUAAAAAGAUUAAGCAGAGCACACAAUCUUACUGUCGUCUAGACCAUCCAGUGAUGACUCUAGUCUUUUGGUUACGUUAGUUUUAGUUGAAAGAAGGGCCAAUUUAACAAAGACUAGAUUUGAUGGCUCACUAUGUUUAAUGUAAUGCUAAUUCUCAGGGAAUCUAAUGUUAUAACUUAUAAGAUGAUCUCCUAUGUUGAAUAACAGUAACACAUUACUGUGAUUGAGAGAACACAGUUACAAUAAACUCUUCCUUUACUCAUUGCGGAGAUUUAAUAGCAAACAGAGAAUAGAAUGAAGCAGAGGAAUCUCAUUGCCAGUAAAAUUGACCCUCUUUAUUAUUAUAUGGCACAGGUGUGGAGGAAGAACAAGUUACUUGCAGUUUUUAUUGUAAAAUAUACAGGUAUGACCAUGAUCAUUAUAGUUAGGUUUUGAUGAUUUCAGAUGCUUUUUUUUUUUAAAAAAAAAUUGUGACAUCUUUGAUUUACGGUAGUUUUGCAGAAAAAAAUAUCUAAAAAUUAAGAGGGAUGAGUUAACUGACGAUUACAAUCAUUACAACAAUGCUGAUGAGUGAUACAUCACUUGAAAUUUACUUGUCAGUUGCUGAAAUGAUGGAAAAAAACAAUAAACGAUAACAAUAAUAAUGUUCCCUUGCUGAAAUUCAAUUUUGACUUUCGACUCUUGGCUUUUAUGGAAAGUAAAAUGACUUGUACAUUAUACUCAUACAAUCCACUCUACAUAAUGAUAUCAUUUUAAUAAGGCAAUGGCUGAUGAUCUCCAUUGAAAAACUACUUCAAUUUUUUUGCUUUAUUUAACUUUUUGGUUGUUGAAAAUAACCUUAAUUAUCAAAUAUUUGGAGAAAGACAAAGGGUGCUUGCAGAAGUGGCAAUAUAUAUAUAUAUAUAAAAGGAGAAGUUGAAGAGAAAGGGUGCUUGCAGAAGUGGGUGUCAAAGAUAAAUCGGUCCAUAAGAAUUAUUACGGUUAUUUUUUGGCAAUAUAAAAAUUUUUUAGCAAAUAAAAAUUAAUUUUUUUCCAAUUUACUAAAAAAUUAAUUAAAAACUUCUGCGAUGGCAUUUUUUAUGGGUGCAUAUACCCUCCCUUUAAAAGAAAAAAUAAUAAUUAAUACUUAAUAUAGUAUUAAAUACGAAAAUAUCAAUAUUUGACUACUCAAAUUUAUAUCAAUAGGUCCUUAAAAUUUAAAAUUGAAGAUACAAGAGGAAAUAUAUAUAAAUUUAAUUCUCAUCGGAAAGGAUCCUCUUAUAAUUUUAUAUAUUUGAGCUUUGAAAGAUUUUUUGAAACAAAUGUACUUUUAUUUAUGUACAAUCAAUAUUUACUUAUUCAUUAUAUAUUUAUUUACUAACUAUCAAUCAUGUUAAUAUAUUUAGUCAGAAAAAUCAUAUCAAGAAAAAAUCAUGAUCCCACGCACAGAUAAAUACGUUAAUUUCUAUACUAUUCACUUACCUGUGUAAUCAAUUAUCUAAAAUGCAAGUUUGUGGCUACGGAAAACUCUCCAAAGAAAGAAGAUAAUAACAAUUGAGCAUUGAUAGCAAAACUAAUGCAUCAUUUUCUUCUUGACUUGAUGAGAUGACGCCAUGAUGUAAAAACAAGUACCUAAAUUGACCGGCAUUGAGUGAUGUGAAUACUACCAGCCGGUUCAUCUCUUCCAGUCUUGCUUAGUUACAAUCACAAACACCACGAGAUCGACAUUUGCAUUAUAUAUAUCUUCAGCAGUCGAAACACCUUGCAUUACCAAUAAACCAGUAACAAACAAAGCAAUCUUUCAUGGAGAGAAACCUUAGUCUCAGUAUGAUCACUGUGUCAUUAACCCACUGCCUGCUUCUUUGCUUGGUUGUUGCAGCAGCAGCAGCAGCAAGCAGCAAUAUUCCCACAGACCAACAAGCUCUUCUUGCCCUGAAAGAUCAUAUAAUUUAUGAUCCGACCAACCUUUUAGCCCAUAAUUGGACCUCGAAUACCUCUGUUUGUACCUGGAUUGGCAUCACUUGUGAUGUCAAUAGCCAUAGAGUCACAACCUUAGAUAUUUCUCAAUUCAAUCUACAAGGCACCAUCCCUCCUCAACUUGGAAACCUCUCUUCACUCACAACACUUAAUCUUAGUCAUAAUAAGCUUUCUGGAAGCAUUCCCCCUCCAUCUACACCAUGCAUACGCUAAAAUUUCUAGACUCCACUGAUAACCAGCUCUCUGGUUCAGUGUCUUCCUUCGUCUUCAACAUGACUUCAAUAUUCGACAUUCGUUUGACCAAUAACAGACUUUCCGGUGAGCUUCCGAAAAAUAUUUGCAAUUACCUUCCUCAUUUGAAAGCCCUUUUUUUGGACAAAAACAUGUUUCAUGGAAAAAUUCCUUCUGCUUUAUCAAAGUGCAAACAACUGCAACAAUUAAAUUUGCAUUCCAAUAAUUUAUCCGGGGCAAUACCAAAAGAAAUCGGCAACUUGACUAUGCUCAAAGGGAUAGACCUCGGCUACAACAAACUCCACGGUAUGUUCAUAAUACUAUCUAAAUAUUUUAAUUUAUCACUUGUUAAUUUUCUUGAAUACCUUAGAUAAGAUCUUGUAAGUGAGAUUUUUUGCAUCUAUGUUAAUUUACCAGGUGAGAUACCACACGAAAUCGCUAAUCUUCGAAAUCUAGAGGCUUUAGUGCUUGGAAUGAACAACCUAGUUGGUAUGGUAUCAGCUACAAUCUUCAACAUGUCAACAGUGAAGGUGAUUAUCCUCAUAAAUAACUCUCUCUCUGGAAGUCUUCCAUCAAGAAUGGACCUUUCACUUCCAACUAUUGAGCAUCUUAACUUGGCACUUAAUAGAUUUUCUGGAACCAUUCCUAGUUCUAUCACCAAUGCUUCUAAGCUCACCUUUCUAGAGUUGGGAGGAAACACAUUUUCGGGCUUUAUUCCAAACACAUUUGGUAAUUUAAGAAACCUUGAGCUGCUCGACUUGGCUAAUAACUACUUGACAUCUUCAACCUCAAAAUUGAGCUUCCUUUCCUCUUUGGCAAAUUGCAAGAAAUUAAGAACCUUAAGAUUAAGUGGCAAUCCACUUGACGGCGUCCUUCCAAGUUCAAUAGGAAAUCUUUCUAAGUCUUUGGAAACACUUGUCAUCGUCAAUUGCAGUAUUAGUGGCAACAUUCCUCGAGCAAUUGGCAAUUUAAGCAACUUGUUGGCCUUAGUAUUAGAAGCCAAUAAAUUGACUGGACCAAUUCCAAUUACAUUCGGCCGACUACAGAAACUCCAAGGCUUAGAUCUUGCAUUCAAUAAGUUGGUAGGUUCAUUCCCAGAUGAGCUUUGCCAUCUAGCUAGGCUGGCUGAAUUGGUCUUAUUUGGCAAUAAGCUUUCAGGAUCUAUACCUUCAUGCCUAAGUAAUCUCACUUCUCUAAGAUCUCUCUACUUAGGGUCCAAUAGGUUUACUUCUGUUAUUCCCUCAACUUUCUGGAGCCUAAAAGACAUCUUGUUCUUUGACUUUUCAUCAAAUUUCUUGGUUGGUCCUCUUUCUUUAGACAUAGGAAAUUUGAAGGUGCUUGUAAGAAUAAAUUUAUCAAAAAAUAACUUAUCCGGUGAUAUCCCAGCCACAAUUGGAGGACUGAAAGAUCUUCAAUUUAUGGACGUAGCAUAUAAUAGAUUGGAAGGCCCAAUUCCUGAAUCAUUUGGUGACUUGACAAGUUUGGAGGUUUUGAAUUUGUCAAAAAAUAAAAUCUCUGGGUCUAUUCCAACAUCCAUGGAGAAACUCUUUUACCUCCGAGAGUUAAAUCUCUCUUUCAAUGAACUAGAAGGUGAGAUUCCCAGUGGAGGAAUUUUUGCCAACUUCACAGCUGAGUCAUUUAUGGGAAAUGAGUUAUUGUGUGGUUUACCAAGUCUUCAAGUCCAACCAUGCAAAGUUAGCAAGCCGAGGACAGAACAUAAAUCAAGGAAAAAGAUACUUCUCAUUGUGAUUGUUUUGCCAUUGAGUAUUGCUCUAACAAUAGCAAUCACACUAGCUCUCAAAUCUAAGCUGAUCGAAUGUGGAAAAAGAAGCACAGUGUUGUCAAAUGAUAGUGUCUUGUCAUCACAAGCAACACUAAGAAGAUUUUCAUACUUAGAACUUUUACAAGCAACAGAUAAUUUUGCUGAAAACAACGUAAUUGGCAUUGGAGGUUUUGGUUCUGUUUAUAGAGCAAGACUUGAAGAUGGGAUGAAGAUUGCAAUAAAAGUGUUUCACCAGCAAUGUGCAAGCGCAUUGAAGAGUUUUGAGGCUGAAUGUGAAGUGUUAAAAAAUAUUCGCCAUCGAAAUCUUCUCAAAGUUAUCAGCAGUUAUUCAAACAAUGACUUCAAAGCAUUAGUCCUAGAAUACAUGUCCAACGGGAGCUUGGGGGAUUGGCUGCAUUCUAGCAAUUAUAUGCUGAAUAUAUUUCAAAGGUUGAACAUAAUGAUUGACGUUGCAUCAGCUUUAGAAUAUCUCCACUUCGAUCAUUCAACUCCUAUCAUUCACUGUGACUUAAAGCCUAGUAAUGUAUUGUUGGACGAAAAUAUGGUUGCUCAUUUGAGUGAUUUUGGCAUAGCAAAGCUUUUAAGUGGAGAGGAUGAGUAUUUGAUGCGAACAAAAACCCUUGCCACUAUAGGUUAUAUGGCACCAGGUUUGCUUCAAACAAUUGUUUUUUUUUAAGUUCAUUUUAAAUUUUCCAAAUCAUUGAUUUUUACGAUCCUCACAUCAAAAUUUUCUUGAUUAUUUAUCUAAUUGUGAAAUUAAUUUUAUUCAUAGAGUACGGCAUAGAAGGAGAAGUAUCUACAAAAAGUGAUGUUUACAGCUAUGGGAUUAUGUUGAUGGAAACUUUUACUAAGAAAAACCCCACAGAUGAAAUUUUUGUUGGAGAAUUGAGCUUAAAGCGUUGGGUUAAUGACUUGCUUCCUACUUCAUUAGUGGAAGUUGUGGACAAAACUCUGCUAAGUGGAGAGGAAAAACAUUCUGCAGUAAAGGAGCAAUGUCUGUUGUCUAUCUUUAGUUUGGCUCUGGAGUGUACAAUGGAAUCACCGGAAAAGAGGAUUAAUGCAAAAGAUGUUGUUACCAGAUUACUCAAGAUAAGAGACACAUUGAGUAAAAGGAUAGGAAACUGAAGUUAAUUUCGUUUGCUUUCAUUGAUAGUUAAUUCAAAUUCAUGUAAUAAGUGUAAGAAUCUUAUAUCCUUUCCUUUGAUUUUUUUUUUUUUUUGAGAAAACUGUUGUAGUCAUCUUGUUUCACUGCCCCCAAUGCUUUGGACACCUACUGGUAGGUUUGUACGUGUCCUCAACUUUUUUUAGGAGCACAAAAUUCGAGUCCCAUGGAGACUCAAACAUUCCUUUCCCACAUCCCGAGCACGCUAAGUUCGAGUGAAAGAGAUUAAUUUACGGAAACUAAAGCCAAGAGAAUAAAGGACAACACUUAUGUGAAGCGACAUAAAUGUAUUGAUAGCACAAUGUCAAAUUCAUACAGAGAUCUAGUAUACUAUUUACAGCCGGUAAGGGCUAAGAAUUGAUGUAGCUAGAAUACAAAGACGAUAAGGUAUGUUGUGCACUAUUGUUUUAUUCUACGAUCAAUCUUGACCCUUGAUGCUUGGCUCUCAAUCUUGUCCAUUGAUCUUCUUUGAUUUUGUACACUUCAAGACCUUUCAGUAUCAUUCCUUGUUGUUGGUGUCUUCCGUGCUGUAGAAUUCAUAUACAAGCCUUCCCGCCGACUUGCGAAGUAUUCGUUCAUUGAUGCAUUUUUAUCAAACAGUUGGCCGACUUGCCAAGUAUCAUGCCUUGUUAUAGGUAGGCUUGGUAGGAUUAUGGGUCGGUCGGUAGAUGUACAUGUGUUAAAGCUUUUGAAUUUAUGCCAAUUGAAAAUAAAAAAGAAUCUACAUAAAUUUUCAACGAGGCUAUUACCACAAUAAGCAUUUGGAUGAAUUAUUAUUGAAUCCUUUCUGAGAAGUAGGACAUGUCAGACAUCAAAGCACUGAGAUAUCUUCAAAUAGUGGUAACCCCCACGCAACAAGGCACAAUAAAUUAUACAGAUAAAAUCCUUCACUCUUUCGUAAUCAUCAGUGUAGGCACGGUGAUGCGUCAGACAGAUAUGGGUCGGAUCCACUCCAGCUCCAUAUCAAGAUUCAUAAACCAUGACAAAAAUAGAGAAUCAUAGGUGUUGCAGAUAGUGAUGGUUGUUGAUGCACUCGUGAUUUAAAAUUUUAUUUUAUAUCUUCAAGUUCGCAUUUUAAGUGUCCUUUUUUUUAAUUUUUUAUUGUGAUCAUUAUAACUUGUCAAAUCUAUUUUUAAAUAAUUUUUUAAAAAUAUUUUAUUAACAAUGAUAUGAAAAUAUUCGAACACCUUUUCAUAGUAAAGUGAAUUAUUAUCCGACGAUCCAACUCAUGUUUUCAAAUUGUAAAUUGCAAAUCGUGUGUUUGCUCCAUUACAGAGUUUCAUCAAUUUGAAAUAGAGAAUCAUUUGUGUUCUAGAUUAAUCGAGGGUCUAUAUCCAAAUCUAAAAAUUGACUAACUUGGUUUCUAUUAAAUUCUUAAUCCUAACAAGAAAAAUAGAAGAUUAAAAAUGACUAAUUUGGUUUCUAUUAAUUUGAGUAACGAUCGAAUUACCUAAUUUAUUAAGAUUUAUCAAAAUCCUAUGUCAAAAUCCAUUAAUGAUAUAGGUUCAAUGACGAAAUAGUCACUUGUUAUUAUUUUUGACUUCAUAAAUAGAUGAACGGAUGUUAUUUUUGGAUUCUGGAGAAUCGAAAAUAUCAGGAUAGGUGAUAAAUGGAAUUAAGUUGUAGAUAAGAUAGAAAUGGAUUUGGAGAGAGAUUGGAAUCCUGGGUAAUCCGGAGUACGUUGUUGUGUUGAAUGCUCGUUGACUUCACGUUGACUGAAACAUUAUUGGAAGAAGUGAGCAAGCUUAUUUUCUUCUCUCAUUUUUUAAAUUUGUCUUAAGUUUAUUGAUGUGAGGCCUUUGAGAUUGUAAGUUUCAAAUCUGAGAAGAAUAACCACACACCCAUUAUCCUAUUACUCUUAUUUUAUCACAUGAAGAGAAUUCGAAGUUUGAUAAAUUUGUGAGGAUUGUGAGGGUUGAUGCAAUAUAAUUUAGAUGCAAAGUGUUUACAAGUACGAUGCUUCAUAAGUGUUCUUGAAUCAUUAUAAACUCACGUUAUUUUUAUAAUGAUUGUUUCAUCUGCACAUGGAUAUAAUCAUAUGUUGAGAUUUUUUCCUAAAUUAUGGUCUUAUUUGGUAUUGAGGUGUUAGAUCUUUUAAGUUACAAUUACUAUUGGAAAAAAAAGUGCAACUAUGAAAUAAAAGUUAAUAUUGUGUACUAAAUAUAAUUGUUAAAUAAUAAUUUUGACAAAAUUAGUGAAGAUAUAUAGGUUUUUUUUUAAUCAUCUAAGUGUAAAAUCAAAUCAACUUAACUUCUAAACUAUAUAGCAGCUACUGUUUACCAAAUACUUUAGUACUGUAACUUUUAAGUUAUAGCUGCCUAACCUCAGUCUCAAACAAUGGCUAUAAAGAUCAAAGAUUUCCUCAUAAAAAUUAUACGUCUUGUGAUUGCUUAUUUAAUUUAUAUUUUUUUAUUUAUCUUUAUUAAUUACAGUCAUCUUUUAAUAAAUUACAAUUGCAGGAAGUUGAUGUUCGAAGUGCUUAUGUCGACUCAAAGUUGUUGGGAAUUAAUGCAUGUAUUGAUUUAUUGGGAGUGUUUAAAUGAUUUUGUGAUUUACUUGAUUGAUUGAUUGAAUAAUGUUUGAUUGCUUCAUAUCCGUUCUAGAAAGUUUAUUUCUUUGUGAAAUUUCAAUGAAAUAUGUUUUUUUAAAUUAUAAGGGUUUUUUAAGUAAUUUUAAAAAUAAAUGAACUAAUAAGGAUUAAUUAUUAGGUAAUUAACUUGAACUAUACAGGGUAAGCGAACAUGUAUCCUAAUUAUAUCAUGAUAAAUCCUUUUCCGAUCAGAAUUAGGAAACCAUAAGUAUAUUGAUUUUUUUUUCCAAUUCUCCUUUGCGAAAACGGAUUACAGAAUUAGAAAACAAUCCUAAUGAUAUUAUUGUUAGGUUUAAAACACUGCAUAGAUAGUAAAAAGCUAACUAGUUCGUAGAGUAAUUUGUUAAUUGCUAUCGCCUCUGCCUGCGCGGUGAAUAAUUUGUUGCAUGCAAAUUUUUUAUUUUAUGCAAAUCGUACUGAACAUUGGAAUUGAUGUAUAAGCAAAAAUACAAGAGUAUUUAUGUCAAUACAAAUUUUUUUUUUCCAUUUUAAAUAAACACAACGCGAUGUUUAUCUGCUCCGCGUUUUUGCAAUCUGUUUAUUCGUUGUUUAUUUGCUUCUUAAGGCCUCAAACUUUGAUAACCAAAAAUUUCACCAAACUAUGAAAAAUAUUCUGCAGGUUAGUUUUUAUUUUCGGAAUAAUUAUUUGAGAAUACUAAAACACAAUAUAAAAUAAGAAAAUAGGGGGUUAAAAUUUGAAAAAAAAACAAAAGGGCAUGUUGGAUAGAUUACUGUAGUUUAAGAAAAAAAUUAUUCAGUUGGGAAUUUUUUUUCUUUAAUUUUUGUUUUACUUAAUUGAGAUUUCUCCUUAAUCCUUACAGUUUUAAAUUUGGAUAACAUAGGAUUAGUAAUUUAGUACUUCCUUUGCAAGCCGAGGUUAAUGAUGAAAUUCUUUUAAGAAAAAAGAUAAAAGAGCAUACCAAUAGUCAAUUAUAAAUAACCACAAAUAAAUACAAACAAAAUGUUUAUGAAGUAAAUUAAAAAUGUGCAUAUUAUUUUUUUUUUAUUUCUUACUAAUCUUUGUAUUUGCUGCUUGAAAAACCAUAAAUACACAGAUGACCAUUGGCUUCGCACCAUUUAAUUGGGAUACAUUUCUACGUACAAACUGAACAAGGCUAUUGAUUUUUAUUAUUAUUUUUAUUUAUUUAUAAAUUACUAUUUCAAUUUUCACUUUUUAUUGGGUUGUUUAAUGGAUUAGUGAGGCUGGUGGUCGUUGAUGCACUCACAAGGUACAAUUUUGUUUUCCAAUUUCAAAUUCGUAUUUUAAAAUGCAGCACAUUAUGUAUACAUAAUUAUUGAUUUUCAUAUGUGGGUGUUUUGAAAUAUUGCUAAAAGACCAAACUUUAAUAAACUAUUUUUGAUCCUUUUUUGUUUCUUUUUUCCUAAAGUUUGAGUGAUAUCCGCAUUUUUAAAAGCUAAUGUAUGCAAAAAAUUCUUUUAUUUUUCUGGGGAAAAUAGGCAAGAGAAAACGUUUUGGCAAAUGAGUUGCAACUGAAUUCAAAACCAAUACGAUGCGAGCAUAGGAAAGAGGUCAGUGUUUUGGAUUUGAAUUUAGUAUUGAGCUGAAUUUUAUGUUUAACACAUGAUUCUAUUAUAGUACUGCGAUUAAUAAGCUCAGCCCCGGAUUUGCUUUUGCUUUUGCUUUUACUUCAAGUGAAAGAAAGAGGAAACCUUUUGUUUUUUCUUUGGUUUUUGACUAUGUUACCUAUACAGAGAGUCAAGAUAUCAGCCAUAAGUGAUGGUGUUAAAAAGAUUAAGCAGCGCACACAAUCUUACUGCUGUCUAGACCAUCCAAUGAUGACUCCAGUCUUUUGGUUACAUUAGCUUUAGUUGAAAUAAGGGCCAAUUUAGCAAACACUAGCUUUGGCGGCUUACUAUGUUUAAUGUAAUGCUUAUUCUCAAGGAAUCUAAUGUUAUAAGAUGAUUGAAUGAUCUUCUAUGAUUGUGAGUAGUAUAGGAUAAUUGAAAAGAGCCUGGCUCCUAUGAUAAAUAACAGUAACACAGUACUGUGAUUGAAAAAGUUCAGUUACAAAAACUUAGUUACAGUAAACUCUUCAUUUAUUCAUUGCGGAGAUUGAAUGGCAAAAAGAGAAUAGAAUGAAGCAGAGGAAUCUCAUUGCCAAUAAAAUUGACCCUCUUUAAUGUUAUAUGGCACAGGUAUGUUUACAUCAAGAACAAGUUACUUACAGUUUUUAUUGUAGUUAAGUUUUGAUGAUUUCAGAUGCUUUUUUUUUUUAAUUGUGACACCUUUGAUUUAUAAUAAUAUUGCAAAUAUAUAUAUAUAUAUAUAUUAGUAGUUUUUUGGUCCGAAAUUUUAAAGUGUGAGAAAGUAUGAGAAAGCUUUAAAACCGCACGGUGUUAAAGGCUUACAGUUUUAAGCAUUUUAAUCCAUGCGGUUUUAAAGUUUUACUGGAUUUUUCCGCACUUUAAAAUUCCAGACUGAAACAUUUCUGUAUAUAUAUACAUAUAAAUAUAUAAAUUAAGAGGGAUGAGUUAACUGAAGAUUAUAAUCAUUACAACAAUGCUGAUGAGUGAUACAUCACUUGAAAUUUACUUAUCAGUUGCUGAAAUGAUGAAAAAAAAACAAUAAACAAUAACAGUGAUAAUGUUCUCUUGCUAAAAUGACUUGUAUAUUAUACAAUCCACUCUACUUAAUGAUAUCGUUUUAAUAAAUGUUUGAUGAUCUCCAUUUAAAAACUACUUCAAUUUUUUUCUUCAUUUAACUUUUUGGUUGUUGAAAAUAACCUUAAUUAUCAAAUAAUUGGAGAAAGAGUAAAGAACAUUUAACAAAUUUAUGUGUAAAAAAAAAAAGGAGAAGUUGAAGAGAAAGGGUGCUUGCAGAAGUAGGUGUCAAAGAUAAAUCGGUCCAUAGGAAUUAUUUGUUGAGAUAUAAUUAAUAAUCUAGUAAAUUGAGCAAGAAGUUUGAAGGGUUAUUUGGUUUGUUUUUCAACAUGAAGUAAAGGGUAGAAUUGAUGUUUGCAAUGUAGCUUUGGAAAUGUAAAGCAUGAUUAAUGUAAUCUCUAGAGUUGUCUAUAAUGCAUAUAAAUAUAGAACUCUGGUUGUAUGAAAAGUAAGAGAGAAACGAAAAAAUGAAUUAAGCAAUAAAGUUUCAGAAAUUUCCAGCAAAAUACUCUGUUCUUAAAUAAAAAUUUUUCUGCACUUCCGCUUGCACCCAACAAAUUUGGUAUCAGAGCUAUUCCAAAACACCCUCAAAAUGACAUCAAACUUCUCCCUGUUUUGAGCUGGAAUAAGAGCAGAAAGCUGUGGGAAAAGGCACUAUUGCUGUCCAUACAAAGGAAGGUACUGAUUUCCUUAUUGUUUGCCUUUAUGUUGAUGCUGCAACAACAAUUUAUUGUGACAACAUGUCAGCCAUUGCUCUAACAAAGAACCCCGUAUUUCAUGCUAAAUCUAAGCACAUUGAGCUGCGUUAUCACUACAUCCGUGACUUAGUAAACAAAGGAGAAGUUAAUAUGGAGUUUAUCAGCACUAAUGAGCAGCCAUCAGAUUUUCUGACCAAAGCAAUCAACAUUGAGAAGUUUGAAAAAUUCAAGAAGCAAUUGAAGAUUACUAAUUAAGAGGGGGUGUUGAGAUAUAAUUAAUAAUCUAGUAAAUUGAGCAAGAAGUUUGAAGGGUUAUUUGGUUUGUUUUUCAACAUGAAGUAAAGGGUAGAAUUGAUGUUUGCAAUGUAGCUUUGGAAAUGUAAAGCAUGAUUAAUGUAAUCUCUAGAGUUGUCUAUAAUGCAUAUAAAUAUAGAACUCUGGUUGUAUGAAAAGUAAGAGAGAAACGAAAAAAUGAAUUAAGCAAUAAAGUUUCAGAAAUUUCCAGCAAAAUACUCUGUUCUUAAAUAAAAAUUUUUCUGCACUUCCGCUUGCACCCAACAUUAUUUUGGUUAUUUUUUAGCAAUAUAAAAAUUUUUUAGCAAGUAAAAAUUAAUUUUUUUCCAAUUUACUAAAAAAUUAACUAAAAACUUCUGCGAUAGCAUUUUUUAUGGGUGCAUAUACCUCCCUUUAAAAAAUAUAUAAUAAUUAAUGCUUAAUAUAGUAUUAAAUACGAAAAUAUCAAUAUUUGACUACUCAAAUUUAUAUCAUUAGGUCCUUAAAAUUUAAAAUUGAAGAUACAAAAGGAAAUAUAUAUAAAUUUCAUUCUCAUGGGAAAGGAUCAUCUUAUAAUCUUAUAAUAUUUGAGUUUUGAAAUAUUUUUUUGAAACAAAUGUACUUUUAUUUGUGUACAAUCAAUAUGUACUUAUUUAUUAUAUUUUUAUUUAUUAACUAUCAAUCAUGUGAGUAUAUUUAGUCAGAAAAAUUAUAUCAAGAGAGAACCCUAAUUUCACGUAAAGACAAAUACAAGACAAAUAUGGCAAUUUCUAUACUAUUCACUUUCCUGUAGAAUCAAUUAUCUAAAAUGCAAGUUUGUGGCUUCAAAAAACUCGCCAAAGAAAGAAGAUAAUUACAAUUGAGCAUUGAUAGCAAAUCUAAUGCAUCCAAUUCUUCUUAACUUGAUGAGUGACGUGAAUACUAGCAGUCUGUAACGCCCAAAUUUUUAUUAUUUUAUUUAUUUUUUAAUGGAAUUUAUAAAUGACAUUUUUGCCCUUAUAAAAACGGUUAUUCAUGGAAUAAUUUUUAGGAAAGGGUUAUUUUUCCAAAUUCAAUAGGGUUUCUUAAGACUCCCUAUAAAUUCAUAUUUUUCUCCUUCCAUAACCCUAAAAGCACGACGUUUCUUCUUCUUCUAUGCUGCUCAUUACGCUCUUACCCAAACCCUAGGAUUCAAACCUUUGGUUAAGAGAGAAUCAAAGCGAUUGGUAAGUUUAUUCCCCUUAUUCUCCACAAGAUUCCCAAUCACUCUAUCUAGGGUUUAUAUUGGCACGAUUUUAGAUUGUUAUAGAUCAUAAUGCAUGAUUUAGAAUGUGUUUAGGCUUUGUUUAGAGUUUUGAUUUAUUAUGAGUUUAGUUAAUCAACCUUGACGUAUUAAGCACAUAGAAUAGUUCCAUAGAAUAUUAUGUUAUUCUGAGUUUUAGAUUAAGAGUUAAAAUUCUGAGCAUCGGACCUGUACGGGUACGAAUUAAAAAAACCAGGUUCUUAGAAUAAGUUAUUAAUUGUCAUAUAUUGUAUUUGUUUAAGGCGUUGGAGGUGAUUGAGGCUCUUAGAGGGUUAGAGGUGUGUUAAUUCAAAUUCUUUUGUCAAGUUAAGUAACUUUAUUCCUAAUGUACUGGAUAUAUAUAUAUGAUUAUUUUGAUAUUAUUAUAAGUAUACGAAUUUUUUUACUACUUAGAAGAUUAAUGGAUUUUCAUAACAAAAUCAGUUUGUGUAAAUGUUUUCAAACCUAAAUUCUUUUUAAUAAAUUAUUUUGUAAAGGCUUUUAAAUAUGUAAGUUAUUUUAUGACAUGACUACCUUUUAUAAUUUUGUCUAUGAAAUAUUUGCAAGCCUAAAUUGUGGUUAUGGACUUUCAUGAAACUGAUACAAAUGUUUUGUACCUAUGUAUGAUUUCAAUUAUUUAUGAUUGUACGGGGGCCACCUCUUGGGACUAUAUGGGGGCCACCUCUUGAAAGCCAAAGCAUCGCAAAGUGCCACAUAUAAGUCAUUAUGUUUUGGCUCAUUGUCCAUAGUUAUUCUGAUUCUGAUUCUGAUCGUAUAAUACGAUAUAUGUCUGUUCUGGACCAGUACUGGGUUUUUGUUUUGAGUGUGCACACGAUAUUCUGAUUCUGUUUUUGGCCGAGUCACCAGGACUAUAGGUGACACUAUGUGACAUGAGCUAACCUUUUGUUUUAUGUGAAUGUGAUAUAUGAUUUGCUUUUGUAAGUAACUAUACUUUUGAUAUUCUGAGUUACAAUGAAUUUAAAUUAUUUUAUAGUGAUAUAUCGUUUUAUGAAAUUUAUGGAUUAUGAUAUAUGUUUUAAUUAAAAGAAGGCUUGCAAUAUUUUUGGUAUCGAUAGGCCUAGUGUGUUAGGAAUAGUUUUACUUACCGAGUUGACGGCUCACCCCUCGUCAUUACUUUUUGCAGAUUAAAUUUCUUUUGAGAGGUGCCCUUAGCUUUGGAGUUAGUAAUUUUCUGUUUCCGUUUGCCAUUUGAAUAAGAUGAGGAAUAGACUCAUGUUUCUAUUUAGUUUAUUUCUGUUAUGGACGUGUAAUUUGGAGUUUGAGACUUUUGUUAUUUUUUUUAUGUCCUCGGGAGAGAUUAUUUAGUAUUAGACGUUUGAAUUUGUGGAUUUAUUCGAAUAAGAAUUUGAGGUAUUUCAGUUUGAAACUUAUGAGUAAAGAUUAUGAUUUGUAAGUAACCUCCUUCUUCACGUGCUCCGCACGUGUUAGAUUUGGGGUGUUACAAUUGUGGUAUCAGAGCAUUAGGUUUGGGAUUCUGUAGACUUUAUUUGAGACUAGAUUUCUUAAGCACAAUCAAUUAGUUCAAUGGUAUUGCUUGCCAUGAGGUUAUCAGAAAGAGUAGAUCUUUAAGGCGAGGAGUAAUUUUGGUCUUUUUGAUUUUCUAGUUGCUUGUGACUUUGUAAUAACUCCUUGAUAUAGGAUUUUGGUAUUAACGUAGAAUGAAAUAUUUGUUUGCUCUUGUUGUCAAUCACUAAUGUUUCUCAGUUAUACUACUUACUCAGUACUUUGCGCACUAGCAAGGCCUUUAACUAUGAAUUAUUUACCGUUUUAUUUAUUUAUUUAUUUUUAUUCUUCGUGUUAUAGUCAAAAGAUGUUGCGUAGGGGAGGUGCUAGGCAUGCCUCUAGCUCGAGAGAUGUUUUAGGAAUCGCUGAUGACGUUGACCCAACCUUGCGUGAGAUGGCUAACGAAGGGAAUCCUAUGAUGCGCGCAAUGGUUAGAUUGAUGGAACAACAAAGUAAGUUGAUUCAAGAUAUGGCUAGAGGUAAAGUUGGGGCACAGGAGAAUGUGCCAGUUGAAAGACAAGGUGGUGGAAGAGAUCAGGGAGGUAUGAUGAGCUUAGAGCGGUUUAGGAAAUUGGGACCACCUACCUUUCAGGGGACUGCCGAUCCUAUGGUUGCAGAGGCAUGGUUAAGACAGAUGGAGAAAAUAUUUAUGGCUAUGGGUUGUAAUGAUGAUCAUAGGGUGAUAUUGGCCUCAUUCGUCCUUUAGGGCGAGGCAGACCACUGGUGGGAUGCCAAAUCCCGUCUUUUGAGGGCCGGGUUACAAGAUGCACCUAUUACUUGGGAGUUAUUUCUGGAGGCUUUUCAUGAAAAAUAUUUUCCUGAACGAGUUCGACAUCAGAUGGAGGUUGACUUCCUGAAAUUGACUCAAGGAACAAAGUUUGUUGCGGAGUAUGAGGAGCAAUUUACUGCUCUAUCUCAUUUUUCUCCUACCUUAGUUGCUAAUGAGGGUAGUAAGUGUAGGAAAUUCUUGGAAGGGUUACAUCCAAACAUCAAAAGACGGUUGACCAUCCUUAAGCUUAAUAAUUAUGCCGAUUUGGUGGAUCGUGCGAUUAUUGCAGAGAGGGAUAUAAUUCAAUCUCAAGUUGCACGAUCUAAUCGACAUAAUAACCAGCCAAUAAAACAUGAUAGUAAUGGUAGCGAAGGUGAACAUAAGGACUCUAAUGGUGGGUCUAUUCAAGAGAACAAACCAUUCUGUAAUCGUUGUGACAAGUACCAUAAUGGCACGUGCUAUUUAAAGAUAGAAGCUUGUUUUGGCUGUGGAAAGAUGGGGCAUAAGGUUAUAGAUUGCCCAAAAAAGCGCAGUGGUAACAUAGAUUCUGCCGAGAACCAAAGGAAAAAGCCAUGUGUCUUCGCCAUGGUGGAGCAAGAUAUUAAGAAACCGAAUAACGAAGCCUCAGGUGCAUUACCUAUUUUCCAUAGAAAGCCUUGAAUUUUUGAGUAAUUGGUAUUGUGCUUUUCCUCCAUCCUUUCUGAUUGGAUGCAUCGUAGCUAGAGUUUUUAGCCUAAUAAUUUCUUUUUUCAUCCAUUGAAUUUCUAUGGUACAUUAGUAGGAUAUGACGUGUGAUUUUAUAAGGCCAUUAGGAUUAACUUAUGGUUGGAUGGAGUAGGGACUAAUAUGAUAUUUAGUAGGAUAUGUGAUGAAGAUUGCAAUAAAAGUGUUUCACCAGCAAUGUGCGAGCGCAUUGAACAGUUUUGAAGUUGAAUGUGAAGUGAUAAAAAAUAUUCGCCAUCGAAACCUUAUCAAUGUUAUUGGCAGUUGUUCGAACGAUGACUUCAAAUCAUUAGUCCUAGAAUACAUGUCCAACGGGAGCUUGGAGGAUUGGCUGCAUUCUAGCAAUUAUGUGCUUAAUAUUUUUCGCAGGUUGAACAUAAUGAUUGACGUUGCAUCAGCUUUAAAAUAUCUCCACUUCGAUCAUUCAACUCGUAUCAUUCAUUGUGACUUAAAGCCUAAUAAUGUGUUGUUGGGUGAAAAUAUGGUUGCUCAUUUGAGUGAUUUUGGCAUAGCAAAGCUUUUAAGUGGAAGAUGAGUCUACGAUGCGAACAAAAACCCUUGCCACUAUAGGUUAUACGGCACCAGGUUUGCUUGAAACAACUUUUUUUUUUAGUUUAUUUUAAAAUUUCCAAAUUAUUGAUUUUUACGAUCCUCAUAUCAAAAUGUUAUUGAUUAUUUAUCUAAUUAUGAAAUAAUUUAAUUCAUAGAGUAUGGCAUAGAAGGAGAAAUAUCUGCAAAAAGUGAUGUUUACAGCUAUGGGAUUAUGUUGAUGGAAACUUUUACCAAGAAAAAACCCACAGAUGAGAUUUUUGUUGGAGAAUUGAGCUUAAAGCGUUGGGUUAAUGACUUGCUUCCUAAUUCAUUAGUGGAAGUUGUGGACAAAAUUCUGAUAAUUGGAGAGGAAAAACAUUUUGCCGCAAAGGAGCAAUGUCUGUUCUCUAUCUUUAUUUUGGCUCUGGAGUGUACAAUGGAAUCACCGGAAAAGAGGAUCAAUACAAAAGAUAUUGUUACCAGAUUACUCAAGAUAAGAGACACAUUGAGUAAAAGGAUAGGAAAUUUAAGUUAAUUUUGUUUGCUUUCAUUGAUAGUUACUUUGAAUUCAUGUAAUAAGUGUAAGAAUCGUUUAUCUUUUCUUUUGAUAUUUUUUUCUUGAGAAAACUGUUGUAGUCAUCUUUUUUCAAUGGGCAGAGUUGAUUUAGUUCUUCCAAGAAAUGCUAUUGUUGAUCUUUGUUAUAUACUUUUGUCUUUUUUUGCAUGCAUUUAGGUAGAAUAGUGGUCUAGCUGCAGGCUAACAAGUCAAGCUACGCUAAAAGGGUAUGAUUUAAUUUAUUAAACCUAACUUCAAGUUCAAGAAUUGUAUCUCAUUGCCACCAAUGCUUUAGACACCUAUUGGUAGGUUUGUGUCCUCAACUUUGUUUAGAGCAAAAGUUCCAGUCCCAUGGAGGCUCAAAUAUUCCUCUCCUACGUCCCGAACACACUAAAUUCAUCAGCCUCUUGAACCCUCUCCUGAGGGCGCCUUCUGUCCUCUGUUUUCUGUUUCCAUACACAAAUAGCAAAAAGAAUUCAGAAUGACAACUGGGACAUAUAUAAGAGUGAAAUAAUUAAAAAAAAUUAUGCUUUUUUGUUUGUCGUGUUAAAAUCGUAAGGUAUCUAAGUACUAUGAAAGAGAUUAGUUUACGAAAACUGAAGCCAAGGGUUCAUAAAAAAGUGCAAAGAGAAUAAAGGACAACGCUUAUGUAAAGCGACAUAAUUGUAUUGGUAGCACAAUGUCACGUUCAUACAGAGAUCAAGUACAUUAUUUACAGCUGGUAAGGGCUAAGAAUUGAUGUAGCUAGAAUACAAAUAUGAUAAGGUAUGUUGUGCACUAUUGUUUUAUUCUACAAUCAAUCUUGACCCUUGAUGCUUGGCUCUCAAUCUUGUCCAUUGAUCUUCUCUGAUCUCGAAAACUUCAAGACCUUUCAAUCUCAUGCCUUAUUAUUGGUAUGUUCUAUGCUGUUAAUUUCAAAUACUAGCUUUUCCGCCAACUUGCCAAUUAUUUGUUCAUUGGUGCGUUCUGUCAAACAGUGUGGAUACUUAUACCAAACGCUUUCUGUUUUAACUCCCCCUUUCAAGCUCAACUAUCUGGGAAGACACUAAUAAGCUUGUUUCUCAAGUAUAUGUAUCUGAAAAUUAAAUUUUCAAAAUUAUAUUCGGACUCUACAUUUUCUAAUGAACAUUGGUUUGGCUCAUAAGCUUAUUAUACUUGGGCUUGGUAGGAUUAUCGGUCGGUAGAUGAACAAGUGUUAGAGCUUUCGAAUUUAUGCCAAUUAAAAAAAAAUCUAUAUAAAUUUUCCACUAGGCUAUUACCACAAUAAACAUUUGGAUGAACUAUUAUUGAAACCUUAUUGAGAAGUAGGACAUGUCGCAUACCAAUGCACUGACAUAUCUUCAAAUAGUGGUAACUCCACACAACAUGGCACAAUAAAUUAGAGUUAUAUAGAUAAAAUCUUUCACUCUUUGGUAAUCAUCAAUGUCGGCAUGGCAAUGCGUCCGACAAAAUUCAUAAAUCAAAACAAAAAUAGAGAAUCAUAUUUGUUUCAGAUUGUAGUGAUGGUUGUUCAUAAUUCACAAUUUUAUUUAAUAUCUUCAAAUUCGCAUUUUAAAAUGCACAAAUGUUUGUGUAUACAUAAUUAGUAAUCGAUUCUCAAGCUUGGACAUUUAAAAGCACUGCUAAAAGACAAAAUUUUAAUUCACUAUUUUUUGUCUUUUAAUUUUCUUUAAGUUUUAAUGAUUCCGCAUUUUAAAAUCCUGUGGAACGUACAUGUAAAAUUCUUUUAUCUUUUAGAGGAAAAUGGGCAAGAGAAGAAGAUUUGGCAAAGGAAUUGCAACCGCAUUUGGAGCUAGUUUUAAUUUUGUCUUUUAAUUCUUUUACACUUGGCUUUUGUUAUUGAUGUCAACUUCGAUGUGUGUGCGUGUGCGACUGAAUUCAACUUACAUGCUAUUGAUGCAGCCACCAAAAAGGGGUGGUCCAUCAUCAAUCAACAAGGUUUAUUAUUAUUUCCAUAUUGAUUUUCUUAAUUAUAAAUAAUACUAAUGUUAUUUCAUAGUUAUAAAUAUAUUAGAAUUAAUCGAAAUCAUUUUUUAGUGUGGCAUGGCUAAAACUACCUUUUUUUUUUAUAAGUAAUUACUACUUUCACAUUAAGAAAAAUACUCCUAUUUUUAAGGAAAAGUCAAGUACCUGUAGUUGUGAAGACUCAAGCUCACUCCCUUAUGAUAAAUCUUCAUAUUAAUUACGUAAAUAUCCUCUAAAAUUUUAAAUUAGCUAUUCAAAAUUUGAUGUUAUACGGGUAUUUCAUUUAUUUGAGUAGGGGUUAGGGGUCAAUUGGAUACAAAUUCAAAAUUAUCCUUACUUGAGAAGGUGAUAAAAAUUGGGGAUUUAGUUUGGAUGUCAUUAGCUACAAAUAUUAAACUCAUACAUUUAAUUCAAAAUUAGAGGGCUGAUAUGUGCGCAUCAUCGUCCACGUUAUAGUGACACUGCGUCACCAUUCCACAACCUCUCCAAUGAAAAAUUGACAUGCUUCUUGUGCGCAUCUAAUCAGAAUCUUGAAAAUUAAUCACAAAAUUGUACUUUUAUUAUAAAAAGAAUAAAGAAACUCCAAGAAAAAAAAAAAGACUUACAUAAAUAGAUUGAAAAAUCUAGAUUUCAAGUUGUCUAUAUUAGCUUGAUAUUUUUAUUAAUAGUCAUCCUCCCAAAAAAAUUCCAUCAAAAUAUAUUUUAAUUUUAUGUUAAUUCAUAAACAUGAAAAAAUCAUUUUAGAAUUAAUUAAAACAUAAUUUAUUGUUGCUCAAAAAAGGUAGAACUUAGUUAUCAGAAAAAAGUGUCUAAAAUAUAUGUUAAAAAAAAAUCAUGGUUGGUUGGACUGAUUGAAUUUUUUUUUUCUUUUUUAAGAAUUAAGACAAUUGGAUGGAUUGAGUAAUAAUAAUACAUAUUUAUUUGGCAAAUGGCAGGGAGGCUUUCGUCUGAUGCAGAUUGAUUAGAGAGAAAAUAUAACAAUUUUAAGCUCGUCAGAUUCGAAGCUGCUUACCUGUCGUGUGGGGAUCACUUCCGUGUCUUAUUUUUCUAGAAAAAUCUGGACCAUUGGAUUUACCAUUAGUCAAUAGAGAAAUGUUGAUCUUGAUUCUUGAUCAAGAUCGAAGUUUGAUUCUAACUAACACGAUAUCAGAUUGCGAAGCAAGCAAAUUGAAAGUCACUUGUUCUAUGGAAGAAACACAAGUUCUAAUAAAACAUUCUCAUAGUAAAGUGAAUUACCAUCCAACGAUCCAACUCAUGUUUUCAAAUUGUAAAUUGCAAAUCGUGUGUUUGCUCCAUUACAGAGUUUCUUCAAUCUGAAAUAGCGAAUCAUUUGUGUUCUAGAUUAAUCGUGGGUCUAUAUCCAAAUCUAAAAAUUGACUAACUUGAUUUCUAUUAAAUUCUUAAUCCUAACAAGAAAAAUUGAAGAUUAAAAACGACUAAUUUGGUACCAUACCACUAUUGUAACAUAGGUAGAUCCUCUAUUAAUUGGAGUAAAGAUUGAAUUAUCUCAUUUAUUAAGGUUUAUCAAAAUCUUGUGUCAAAAUCUAUUAAUGAUAUAGGUUCAAGGAUGAAAAAGUCACUGCAUUACUUUUGAGUUCCCAAAUAGAUGAAUGGAUGUUAUUUUUAGAUUCCGGAGAGUCGAAAAUAUUAAGAUAGGUGCUAAAUCGAAUUAAGUUGUAGAUACGAUAGAAAUGGAUUUGGAGAGAUUGGAAUCCUAGGUAAUCCGGUGCACGUUGUCGUGUUAAAUUCUCGUUGACUUCACGUUGACUGAAGCAUUAUUGGAAGAAACAAGUUUAUUGAUGUGAGGCCUUUGAGGUUGUAAGUGUUAAAUCUGAGAAGAAUACCCACACACCCAUUAUCCUAUUACUCUUAUAUCACAUGAAGAGAAUUCAACAUUUGAUUCACACGGAAAAAAUUUGUGAGGAAUGUGAGGGUUGAUGGAAUAUAAUUUAGAUACAAAGUGUUUACCAGUGCGAUGCUUCGCAAGUGUUCUUGAAUCAAUAUAAACUCACAUUAUUUUCAUAGUGAUUGUUUCAUCUGCACGUUAAUAUAAUCACAUGUCGAGAUUUUUUUCCUUAAAUUAUGGUCUUAUUUAGUAUUGAGGUGUUAUAUCUUUUAAGGUACAAUUAUUGUUGGAAAAAAGUUACAACUAUCAAAUAAAAUUAAUACUAUGUGCUAAAUAUAAUUGUUAAAUAAUAAUUUUGACAAAAUUAGUGAAGUUAUAUAGAUUUUUUUCAUCAUCCAAGUAUAAAAUCAAAUCAACUUAACUUCUAAGUUAUAUAUCGGCUACUGUUUAUCAUAUGUUUUAGUUUUGUAACUUUUAAAUUAUAGUUACCCAACCUCAAUUCUAAACAAGACCUAUAAAGAUCAAAGAUUUCCUCAUUAAAUUAUAUGUCUUGUGAUUGCUUAUUUAAUUUAUAUUUUUGUUAUUUAUCUUUAUUAAUUAUAAUCAUCUUUUUAUAAAUUAAAAUUGAAGGAAGUUGAUUGAUGUUGUUGACACACACACGCACGCGCACGCACACACUCACAAAGAUAUAUUGGAAGUGCUUACGUCGACUCGAAGUUGUUGGGAAUUAAUGCAUGUAUUGAUUUAUUGGGAGUGUUUAAAUGAUUUUGUGAUUUACUUGAUUUAUUGAUUGAAUAUUGUUUGAUUGCUUCAUAUCCAUUCUAGAAAGUUUAUUUCUUUGUGAAAGUUCAACGAAAUAUGUUUUUUUUUUUAAAUAAGGGUGUUCUAAAUAAUUUUAAAAAAUAUAUGCUUGUCUUCCCAAAAUAGCCUUUGAAUACACAAGUAAAUGUCUAGCCUUUGGUGAGGAUAGUUUGGUCAUUGCAUUUUACAAGUAAGAUGAGUGGUGGAGAAAAAUGAGGAGUGCACAUAACUCUUCAGCAAAUCCCACCAACAAUUCCAUUUUCUUAAUUAAUUAAUCUCCUUUUUUAUCCCCAAACAAAUCCUAAUGAUACUAUUAUCAGGUUUAAAACAGUACACAAAUAGUGAAAAGCUAACUAGUCUGUAGAGUAAUUUGCUAAUUGCUAUCUCCUCUCUAUGCUCGCUGAAUAAUUUGUUGCAUGCAAACUUUUUAUUUUAUGCAAAUCAUACGUACUGUAACAUUGGAAUUGAUGUAUAAGCAAAAAUACAAUAAUAUUUAUGUCAAUACAAAUAGUUUUUUUUCCCUUUUUAAAUAAACACAACGCGAUGUUGCUCUGCUCUACAUUUUUGCUAUCUCUUUAUUAUUAUUAUUUUUUUUUGGGCUUCUUAAAGCCUCAAACUUUGAUAACCAAAACUUCAUCGACCUAUGAAAAAAUCUGCAGAUUAGUUUUUAUUAUCGGAAUAAUUGUUUGAGAAUACUAAAACAAAAUAUAAAAUAAGAAAAUACGGGGUUAAAUUUGGGGAAAACAAAAAGGCAUGUUGGAUAGAUUACUAUAGUUUAAGGGGAAAAAAAAAUUCAAUUGGAAAUUUUUUUCUUUAAUUUUUGUUUUACUUGAUUGAGAUUUCUCCUUAGUCCUUACAGUUUUAAGUUUGGAUGCCGUAGGGUUAGUAAUUUAGUAUUUCCCUUGCAAGCUGAGCUUAAGGAUGAAAUUUCUUUUAAGAAAUUAAAAAAGAUUAAAAAAAGCAUACCAAUAGGUAAUUAUAAAUAACCAUAAAUAAACAUAAACAAAAUGUUUAUGAAGUAAAUUACACAUGCACAUAUUAUUUUUUUGUUAUAUUUCUUACUUGUCUAUUUUAUUUGCUGCUUGAUAACCCGUAAAUACUAAUCUAGUACUGCUAAUUUCAGACACAAAAUGUUUAACUCUAGGCUGCAGUUUUACUCAAAAUGAUGACCACUGGCUUCGCACCAUUUAACCGGCAUACAUUUCUACAAAUUGAACAAGGCUAUUGAUUUUCAUUAUUAUUUUUUAUUUAUUUAUAAAUUACUAUUUUAAUUUUCACUUUUUAUUGGGUUGUUUACAGAUUAGUGAAGUUGGUGGUCGUGAUGCACUCACAAGGUACAAUUUUAUUUUAUAAUUUCAAAUUUGUAUUUUAAAAUGCAGGUACAUUAUGUAUACAUAAUUAUUGAUUUUCAUAUGUGGGUGUUUUGAAAUAUUGCUAAAAGACCAAACUUUAAUAAACUAUUUUUUAUCUUUUUUUUUCCUAAAGUUUGAGUGAUAUCCGCAUUUUAAAUUCAUGUGGAACAAAAGCUAAUGUAUGCUCAAAAUUCUUUUAUUUUUUCCGAGAAGAAUGGGUAAGAGAAGAAGAUUUUUCUGUUGAAAAAGAAAAACUAAUACGAUGCAAGCAUAGGAAAGAGGUCAGUGUUUUGGAUUAGAAUUUAGUAUUGAGCUGAAUUUUAUACUAAACUCUUUUAUAGUACUGCGAUUAAUAAACUCAUGAUUUGCUUUUGCUUUUACUUCAAGUGAAAGAAAGAGGAAACCGUUUGAUUUUUGUUUGAUUCUUGACUAUAGAUGUUACCUAUAUAGAGAGUUGAGGUAGCUGCCUUAAGUGAUGGUUAUAAAAAGAUUAAGCAGCGCACACAAUCUUACUGUCGUCCAGACCAUCCAGCUAUGAUGACUCUAGUUUUUUGGUUACAUUAACUUUAGUGGAAAGGAGGGCCAAUUUAACAAAGACUAGAUUUGGUGGCUUACUAUAAUGCUUAUUCUCAGGGAAUCUAAUGUUAUAAGAUGAUUUAAUGAUCUUCUAUGAUUGUGAGUAGUAUAGUAUAAUUGAAAAGAGCUUGGGCUCCUAUGAUGAAUAUUUAAUAGUAACACAGUACUGUUAUUGAAAAAAACACAGUUACAAUAAACUCUUCAUUUAUUCAUUGUGGAGAUUGAAUGGCAAACAGAGAAUAAAAUGAAGCAGAGGAAUCUCAUUGCCAGUAAAAUUGACCCUCUUUAAUGUUAUAUGGCACAGGUGUGUGUACAGCAAGAUCAAGUUACUUGCAGUUUUUAUUGUAAAAUAUAUAGGUUAUGACCAUGAUCAUUGUAGUUAGGUUUUGAUGAUUUUAGAUGCUUUUUUUAUUUUUUUUAAAAUUGUGACACCUUUGAUUUAUGGUAGCUUUGCAGAAGAAAAAUAUAUAUAUAUAAAUUAGGAGGGAUGAGUUAACUAACGAUUGCAAUCAUUACAGUAAUGUUGAUGAGUGAUACAUCAUUUGAAAUUUACUUGUCAGUUACUGAAAUGAUGAAAAAAAACAAUAAACAAUAGCAGUAAUAUUUUUAUGGAAAAUCUUGGUUUUUAUGGAAAUACUCUUGCUGAAAUUCUAAUUUUGACUUUCAACUCUUGGUUUUUAUGGAAAGUAAAAUGACUUGUUUGUUAUAUUCAUACAAUCCACUCUACAUAAUGAUUUCAUUUUAAUAAAUGCUUGAUGAUCUCCACUGAAAAACUACUUCAAUUCUUUUGUUUUAUUUAACUUUUUGGUUGUUGAAAAUAGCCUUAAUUUUCAAAUAAUUGGAGAAAGAGUAAAGAACAUUUAACAAAUUUAUGUGCCAAAAAUAAAGGAGAAAUUGAAGAGAAAGGGUGCUUGCAGAAGUGGGUGCAAAGAUAAAUCAGUCCAUAAGAAUUAUUGUGGUUAUUAAGUUUUUGGCAAUAUAAAAAUUUUUCAGCAAAUAAAAAUUGAUUUUUUCCGAUUUACUAAAAAAUUAAUUAAAAACUUCGGUGAUAGCAUUUUUUAUGGGUGCAUGUACCCUCCCUUUAAAAAAAAUAUAAUAAUUAAUACUUAAUAUAGUAUUAAAUACGAAAAUAUCAAUAUUUGACUACACAAAUUUAUAUCAUUAGGUCCUUAAAAUUUAAAAUUGAAGACACAAAAUGAAAUAUAUAUAAAUUUCAUUCUCACAGGAAAGGAUCCUCUUAUAAUCUUAAAAUAUUUGAGCUUUGAAAGAUUUUUUAAAACAAAUGUACUUUUAUUUUUGUACAAUCAAUAUUUACUUAUUUAUUAUAUUUUUAUUCAUUAACUAUCAAUCAUGUGAGUAUAUUUACUCAGAAAUAUCAUAUCAAGGAAGAAUCUUGAUCCCACGCACACACAAAUAUGUUAAUUUCUAUACGCUUCACUUACCUGUAGAAUCAAUUAUCUAAAAUGCAAGUUUGUGGCCACAAAAAAAGCCAAAGAAAGAAGAUAAUAACAAUUGACUUGUAUAUUAUACUCAUACAAUCCACUCGACAUAAUGAUAUCAUUUUAAUAAGGCAAUGGCUGAUGAUCUCCAUUGAAAAACCAAUUCAAUUUUUUUGCUUCAUUUAACUUUUUGGUUGUUGAAAAUAACCUUAAUUAUCAAAUAAUUGGAGAAAGAGUAAAGAACAUUUAACAAAUUUAUGUGCAAAAAAAAAAAAAAAAAAAGGAGAAGUUGAAGGGAAAGGGUGCUUGCAGAAGUGGGUGUCAAAGAAAAAUCUGUCCAUAAGAAUUAUUGCGGUUAUUUUUUGGCAAUAUAAAAUUUUUAUAGCAAGUAAAAAUUAAUUUUUUCCAAUUUACUAAAAAAUUAACUAAAAACUUCUGCGACAACAUUUUUUAUGGGUGCAUAUACCCGCCCUUUAAAAAAAAAAAUAAUUAAUGCUUAAGUUAGUAUUAAAUACGAAAAUAUCAAUAUUUGACUACUCAAAUUUAUAUCAUUAGGUCCUUAAAAUUUAAAAUUGAAGAUACUAAAGGAAAUAUAUAUAAAUUUCAUUCUCAUGGAAAGGAUUCUCUUAUAAUCUUAUAAUAUUUGAGUUUUGAAAUUUUUUUGAAACAAAUGUAAUUUUAUUUGUGUACAAUCAAUAUUUACUUAUUUAUUAUAUUUUAAUUUAUUAACUAUCAAUCAUGUAAGUAUAUUUAGUCAGAAAAAUUAUAUCGAGAGAGAAUCCUAAUUUCACGCAAACACAAAUACAAGACAAAUAUGUUAAUUUCUAUACUAUUCACUUUCCUGUAGAAUCAAUUAUCUAAAAUGCAAGUUUGUGGCUAUAGAAAACUCGCCAAAGAAAGAAGAUAAUAACAAUUGAGCAUUGAUAGCAAAACUAAUGCAUCAUUUUCUUCUUGACUUGAUGAGAUGGUGCCAUUACAAAACAAUAAUUACCUUAAUUGACGGGCACUGAGUGAUGUGAAUACUACCAGCCAGUUCAUCUCUUCCAGUCUUGCUUAAUCACAAUCACAAACACCACGAGAUUGACAUUUGCAUUAUAUAUAUCUUCAGCAAUCGAAACACCUUGCAUUACCAAAUUAACCGGUAACAAACAAAGCAACCUUUCAUGGAGAGAAACUUUAGUCUCAGUAUGAUCACUGUGUCAUUAACCCACUUCCUGCUUCUUUGCUUGGUUGUUGCAGCAGCAGCAGCAGCAGCAAGCAACAAUAUUACCACAGACCAACAAGCUCUUCUUGCCCUGAAAGAUCAUAUAACUUAUGAUCCAACCAAACUUUUUGCCCAUAAUUGGACCUCGAAUACCUCUGUUUGCACCUGGAUUGGCCUCAGUUGUGAUGUCAAUAGCCAUAGAGUCACAGCCUUAGAUAUUUCUCAAUUCAAUAUACAAGGCACCAUCCCUCCUCAACUUGGAAACCUCUCUUCACUCACAACACUUAAUCUUAGUCGUAAUAAGCUUUCUGGAAGCAUUCCCCCCUCCAUCUACACCAUGCAUACGCUAAAAUUUCUAGACUUCACUGAUAACCUGCUCUCUGGUUCAGUGUCUUCCUCCGUCUUCAACAUGUCUUCAAUAUUAGACAUUCGUUUGACCAAUAACAGACUUUCUGGUGAGCUUCCGAAAAAUAUUUGCAACUAUCUUCCUUACUUGAAAGCCCUUUUUCUGGACAAAAACAAGUUGCAUGGCAAAAUUCCUUCAGCUUUAUCAAAUUGCAAACAACUGCAACAAUUGCAUUUGCAGUUCAAUAAUUUAUCCGGUGCAAUACCGAAAGAAAUCGGCAACUUGACUAUGCUCAAAUGGAUAGAUCUCGGCUACAACAAACUCCACGGUAUGUUUCAUAAUGCUAUCUAAAUAUUUUAAUUUAUCACUUGUUUAUUUUAAUUUCUCACUUGUUAUUUUUCUUGAAUACUUUAGAUAAGAUCUAGUAAGUGAGAUUUUUUGCAUCUAUGUUAAUUUACCAGGUGAGAUACCCCCCGAAAUCGCUAAUCUUCGAAAUCUAGAGGCUUUGGUGCUUGGAAUGAACAAC